rnacentral:lncRNA from 1 species
UUCAAUCCAAGAUGUGUAACAACUUCUAAAAGUUGCUGCCGAGUCAGCGAUGAGGACAUUUGUACCUGAAUAAAUUUCUCUAGUAUGUCACCAACAUGGUGAAGCACUGGUUGCCCUUUUGAAACAAUGCUGUUAAGCACAUCAUCCACACAAGCAACAUUGUACAGUUCACCUCUAAUAGGAAGGCAUUUUCUUUGGAUGAGCAAGUCCAUCAGCUUUGAGGUACCCUCAUCGCUUCUAAUUGCAUUGACAGAUGUCAAGCUGAAAUGCUUCUGAUCAAGAUUCCAAUCUCUUAAAGCUUCCUGUAUGACAUUAAAUUGUCCAUUAUCAGAAUCCAGUACGCAGGCCUCCUUAAAAUGUAUCAUCCUUUCUAAACUAGUAGCCUAGUAGGUGAGGACAAAAACACACCAAAUUUGAUGAUUUUCCUUUAAAGUUUCCAUUCAGAAUCGAUAAAAUGCACUGCCAGACAGAGAUACUUCACUGAGGCCUCAGCUCCAUGAGGAGCCCACACACUUUGCGGUAGCAUACGGGCAUACCCGCGAGCACAUGGCACGGCCGAAAAGCGAAAAUGCUUGCACGUGGCCCACGUUUUCUCCCACGAUUUCUCAUCCUUUUGUUUUGUCCUACUCGCUCCUGUAUCCAUCCAUCAUGUCCACCUAUAAGACCAAGGGCAAGCCUCCAGCCGUCGCUCCAGUUCCCUCCUGUCUCCCGGUCCAACUCAACUCUUGCCUUUUCCCUGCUUCCAUCGUCUCCUGCUCCUCAACUGCUGCAGGAUACAGCGUGAGGUACGUCAAAGUGUCCGCAGUUUGCAGUUUGUUUUCUUCUUGUGAAAACCUUUGGAUUUUUCAGUGGCUAUAAUGUCUUGCGAAAUUCCCCAAUUCUCUUCCGAGCAUCUCUUGGAUGUAGUGAUAAGCGUCAUGUUCUUUGCUGCUGCUCUAAUUAACAGGGAGCCGCGCAGCGCCGACGCCAAUGAGCACUCGGGGCAGCAGCAGGGCGAUGUACACCGGCCUGAUCAUCCUGUUGCUCGCUGUCGGCGCAGGCAUCAACUUCGGCAACUGCGACGGAUUAUCCGGCCCACUCCUCAGCUUCGUGGGGGUUGUCGCCGGCGCCAACAUGAUCGCCGCCGGCGUCAGGACGGCCGACGACCCAGCAGCACCCAUCGACCCCGCGCCCGCAGCGUUCGCCGGUGCACGUGCGUUCAUGCGGCGCAACCUCGCCGUCGUGGGGCUCGUCAUGGUUUCCUCUGCUUCCACAGCGGUUGCGGGGGAGACAGGCCCGGCGUUCUCCUUCAUGAUGUUUGUCCUGCUGGUGUUCGGGGUCUCUCUGAUCAACAUCGGAGUUCAUGGCACCUAGUCUGGUGUGUCAGCUUCGGUCCGUUGGUGCUCGCAUCGUUCUUCGUACGUUGACGUUCCCCUCAACUAUCUGUCAGUAAUCGCCGCCUCUGUCCACGGAUGGUUUUCAAGUAACAGCAAUAAAGGAAAUGGAAUUGGAAUUGGAAUUGGAAUUGCAUUUUUUUUCCAACCGAGGGAGUACUAUUUCUGAAUAAUCAACCAGUAUGUUUUUCCUUAAUUACUACGUGCUUUUUUGUACUUGAAUUACGUUGGUGUCGACCUGCUAUGUUUGUGAGCUCAAGUACCUUUUCACGGGAACAUGUGAUAUUCCAUCUCCAUGAUUUCACACCUGCUAUCCAAGUUGAGUAGCAGAAGAUCAACCUGCCCCUAUUUUUCAGCCGCCUUAUUCAAUUGCUUAUCCCGGCGCCACUUUUUGGUUGCUUUCCGAUCAUGGCCACUGCAGUACUACUAAGACCAUCCACCAGCUAAAAUUUAGCUGGUAAAUUUGGAUCCAAACAGGAAGAUGGAGCUGACGUGGGUGUAUGUCGGGAGAAGGGGGCAGGUGGCGUGCAUAUUGCGACGGACCACGACAGAGGCGGCGCGUUCGUAACGGGGUGGGGGUGUGUGGAUUGGGCCGGCGACGGCGACAGCGGACCGAAUGGACCACCUCGCCUUUUUUCCUCCCUUGUGCUUCAUCUAAGCCAUCGAUCCAUUGUUUGCCAAUUGUUCAGCACAUAUUUUUGAGAGUGUGGAUCCAACAAUCACUUAAAUAUUGGCCCAAACUGCCAAGAUGUUGGCCAAAUGUAUGCGCCAGCCAUUGGAAUGGACCACAGAGAGUCAAAUCUGCAAACUUUUUCAUGCGUGGAAGUUUGGGAUCCAAAUCCGUCUCCCUCAGAUUGGCAGACCAUCCUCAGGACAAAAUAUUUGAAUGCCAGACCGUCUCCCUCGUAUUGACGGACCGUCCGCAGUAUAAAACUCAGUCGACUCAAGUUUUGUGCAGAGAUUCUGGUAGGAGGCCCGGUGGCACAUCCCCAACCCGGUAUUAAUGUGCACCACAUUAGUACCGGUUGUUGAUCUUACCCAGUACUAAAGGUCCAAUGGCACAUUAGUAUAAUCAACCAGUACUAAUGUGCAUCAUUUAGUACCGGUUGGUGCCCCCAACCUGGUACUAAAGGGGCUUACGGGGCCACCCAGGGGAAGUAGCCGUUAGGCUCGGUAAUAGCAUUAGUACCGGAUCCAAUUACAACUGGUAAUAAGGUGCUGGACGAAAGGUCAUUUCUCUAAUAGUGAAAGAUGAAGAGGUUAUAUAAUAUUUCACAUAGUAUAAAACGGAAUAUAUUACGAGUAAAUGGUACCACACUACAACGAUUUGAAGGUGAGCCCAACGAGAAACCUCCAUCCUUAUCUCACCGCACCUUCCUCAUAACUAGCUGCAACUCAUGUUACUCAUCUCAGUUUAUUCCAAGUUGUAUGCAAAAAAUUGACAAGGGACCAGUCAGCUCCGUCCACUCCCAACCAAAUUAAACGUGAGAAACAACACCAAUUAAAGUAUAAGGAUCAUCCUAUCUUAGGAAAGAUGAUGUAGCCCGGCUCCAGCCCCAGGCUCUCCGGGAUCGCCGCGUACAGCCUGAGCCCGAGCUCCCGGACCUCCUUGCCGUAGAUGCUCAUCGUCUCCCUGAAUGACAAAGGGACCGUGCCGGUGUCAGGAUUCAGAAAUACUAAUCCACAAUCAGCGGCGGGUUGGACGACGGCCAGUCGGGCACGAACUGGUCGAUGGGAUGGCAGUGAAGCCGGAGGUAGUCGCGCAAGUUGUGCACCGUCUCCUUGCGCACGUUGAAGCUCGUGGACAGGCGAAUCUUCCUGGCAGGGUCGUCGGAGUAGAGCUUGGCUUUCUCCUCCGCGGGCAGCUGGAAGAACUCCCGCGAUCAGGCCGGCGUCUAUCCCGUGGUUCAGGACCAGCAUAUACAAGAAAUCGUGGGUCACUGUCAACGAAAUAAAGCUUUGCCGGCGGCAAGCCAAUUUCUACGGCCCCGGGCGUGCGUGUCACCUGGAAGAAGCCGUGCGUGCGGCAGCAGGCGCCGCCGAUGGCGGCGACGACCGCAGCGCGGUCGGGGCACGCCAGAUCGACGACGGGAACGCACGCGCCGGAGACGACCUCGGCGAGGUGCGGGCGCUGCGACUCCGGCCGGACGUAGUUCCCGCGGCAUGGUGCGGUGCACCGCCAUGGAGAGGAGGUGCUCCUCCGCCAUGUGUGUUCAACGCGAGCCGACGACGGAGCUCUUGCGUGCGUGCGCGAAGCGGGGAGGAGCCGGGCAGCUGGCCUUCGACAUGGGACUCUCAGGGAGGCGGGUCAGCACGCGCUCUUAUAGCGGCCGGUCGAAGCGCGCGGGCGAGCAGCGUGUGGUGUGGUGACCGCGGCGUGGCAAGGCGCGGGCCAAGCCGCUGAUGCUGACCCCCGCGGUCGUUGGGUCGCGUCAUCACCGCGGCGGCUAGUGACAUCAAGCCGUUGGGUCGCGUCGUCACCGCGGCGGCCAGUGACAUCAAGUCGUGCGUCAUCACCGCAGCAAGUCGUUGGGCCGCGUCAUCACCGCGGCGGCCAGUGACAUCACGUCGCGGCGUUGUAUGCUUGGGCAAUGAAGACGGACGAAACGAAGACGACAACAAUGAAUUUUUUUUUGCAUAAUGUCUUGAGUAUAUGAUUAAAUUCAGAAGUUAAGAAUAGGAAAAAAAAACUCUCCAAAACUGUAUCACACGAUGACACAAGCAGGCAGCACGCAAUACAUGGAGAUGUUAGAAGCAAACCAUGAAUGAUUACAAAAGAUGGCAUCAAGCUGCACAGAUAUUUUAGAUUUUGGCACAAAAGACCAUGGCUUCGCAUGUUCAGUCUAGCUAUAUGACUAUACUAAAACUCUUCGUGGAAGGCAACACAUUCUUUUUUUUAUUUAUUAUCUUAUAUUAAGAUGACAAUCUAUAUUGUGCUUUUCAAUCGAAAACAUCAAGUAACAUUGUACCAUUGCUCUAAAAAAUAUUGCAACAACAUGUUGUAUGCUUUAAAUAAUAUUGAUUGAGCACUUUGUUAUUUGAUCUUGGAAAACUUAUAUACCCUUUUUUUUUAGCUAUCAGUGCCUCAAGUCUUUUUCUAUCUUUUUUUAUCUUUUUAACUUUCGAUUCUAAACUUGUUAAUUAGGCUAGCUUUUAUUUUGUUUUAGACCACCUCGAUAUCAUAUCAUUUUGUCCUCCACCUCAUGUUGCUAUGCAUUUUCAUGUUAUUUUUCUUUUCUUUUUUUCAUCAAAGCCUUUUGCACCUCCGUCUGGGCUCAAAUUCAGAUGGUUGCAGAUCACAUGAGCACCUUCCUAGAGGAAUUGAUACUCCAAUCUCUUAAGACAAAUCUCAGUUUGUCUUCUCCUAAGGAUGGAGUAGUACUUAUGUGCCUUAUGAAAGCAGUUUCAAGCUACCUAAAAUAAGUAGACAUUUGUAAGCUGGUCAGGUUCGACGAGGAGUACACCGAGCACAUCCUGCGGAUGGGCCCUCCCAUGCCCUUCCGCCGCAUGCGCGCCGAGCUCAUGGACAAGAAUAAUUUUAGGAAAAUUGCAAACAGAUACUCAAAGCAUGACGCUUUCAUCAAACUAUGCACGUGAUUGCAUUUUAUCCAAUGCUCCCAGACAGUAUUAUCUUACAUCAUCUCUCAGAAGAGAGAGUAUUGCAUUACAUGGCCAGAGGAAAGGACACCUGGACUAUAGUAGCGCAGCUUCAUUAUUUGAGCGCACACGGCAUGAGAAUGAUUCAACAUCAGCAAGCACAUAGCCACACAGUAGCAGUAGUUACCUGCAACAACCCAAUUGGGAAACUAGGAACAGAGCUUGAACCAAAUCAUCAAUCGAGCAUCAAUGCAUCUGGGAGAGGCCAAGAAUCCCAACGCUGAUCAGGGAGAGGCCGAGGAGGAGCAGAGCAAACAUGCCGAAGCAGAGCACCUGGCCUGCUUCGCCGGAGACCGCCGGGCAACAUCGCAUCAGCAGGUUGACGUUGCAGAGGUGGCGGCCGGGCAAUUUCGCGCGUCAACCUGCUGAUGCGUCAACCUGCUGAUGCGUCAACGUCGCGCGGUCAGGCGGAGGUCUCUCAAAUCUAUCUCUAGUCAGUCUCUAUAUAUGCAGAGACAUACCAGCUACUAACUAGCCUACCAGCCUCAGCUCAGCUUCCAGCAAGGCACUUCAAACCACCUGCUGCCAUAUUCGGCAACGCUUCCCUCCCCGGUGCGGCAGUGCUCGACGGCCCUCUCCGACUGCGGUGCCACGCGGCCGACGAUGACCACUCCGGGCACCACGGCGAUGUUCGCCGGCCUCGCCAUCUUGCUGUUCUCCGUCAGCGCCGGAUUCAAUUCCGGCGCCGGCGCGUUCGGCUUGCUACUCUGCUUCGCGGGGGUUCUCGCUGGUGCCAACAUCGUCGCCGUCGGCAUCCGGAUGUCCGGCGCCUACCUGGCGCCCGUCGUCCCGGCGGUGUUGGCCGAGGCGCGUGCUCUCGCAGAGUUCCUUCGUCGCAACCUCGCCGUCGUGGGGCUCGUGAUGGCUUCCUGCGCCGUCACGGCGGUCUCCGGCGAAGCAGGCCAGGAGCUCGGCUUCGGCAUGUUUGCUCUGCUCCUCCUCGGCCUCUCCCUGAUCAGCGUUGGGAUUCUUGGCCUCUCCCAGAUGCAUUGAUCCUCGAUUGAUGAUUUGGUUCCUGCUGUCAAAGUAUUCUUGCUGUCAUUCUCAUGCCGUGUGCGCUCAAAUAAUGAAGCUGCGCUACUAUAGUCUAAGUGUCCUCCUUUCCUCUGGCCAUGUAAUGAAAUUUUAAUUCCCAAUCACUGCUUUGGCUAUCAGUGUGCUGCCCAGUCUUGGAAUAGCAAUUUGCAGAACGUGUUCUUCUCAAAAUCGUUGCUGGAUCUGGUGUUGUCUCAUCAGAGCGUGCUCUCGAUCGAAACGGAUCAGAGCGUGUUCUCGAGUACCUGGCGUUGAACGGUUUGAACGUGUUCUUCUCAAGAUCAGUUGUCCCAUCAGAGCGUGCUCAGCCGCUUUAGCAAUCAAUUGCUUUUAUCCAUUCCAGUCUUUCCUGAAGCUCCCUUUGCGACGGGAGAUCUUCUCGACGACUUGACGCGUACUUAUGCGGAUUGGACUCGAGUGCGUUCAGGCCGGCGGAUGCUCAAGUCCGUCCCUGUCGCGUCUGCCCGACCGCCAGCCAGGCAGCAAGCCCACGACGCAACAGCGGGCCCCGCGGAGGUGGCACACUGGCACGAUCCCAAGCCCGACCGACUCGAGCGUGACAAUUUCCGACAAAAAAACGACAAGAUCGAUGAUUAAGAAAAAGGAUCGAGUUGAGCCGCACGCACGAUGAUUAAACGGAUCAGUUCAGAAACGGCACACGCGAGGACCGGCCGGCCGACCAGCGGCGCACGAGCGCGCGAUUCCGUAAGGCUCGGCCCACGCGCUGUCCUUGACGCCAGUGAGCUAGUGGCGGUGGCGGGAAGUUCCCUUAUGUAGCGGGAAAAAAAAAUACAAAUUGCUGAUCUGAUGCUACUAAUUUGUGUUGUGUGGUAACAGUUCGGUCUUCCUUUGUGAUGGUACCUUUUUAUGCUGUUUGUGGUACAGAUGUGCUCAUCUUGGUAUAGGUUUCUUCUUCCAUUAUAAGUUUGCUUCUGUGAUGUUUGCUGGUCAUUAGGAGCUGAGUGGCCUCUUGAUCAAUUUUCUGCGCACAGGUUGCAUAAAACUUAGAAUAAACCGAAAUUUCUUCUCGCCCUCGGUGGUGGCAACGCCGCUGCCAAGUGCCAAUCGCGCUGCCGUCGCCGGCGACCUCCUCCUAGGCUCCUUGGACUUGGCGCGCUCCUCCAGCACCAAAUUGGAAACCGUCGCCGCCAAAUCGUUGUAUACUAUUAUAUAACCUCUUCAUUUUGUUGAGGAACUUUAUAUCAUGACAAUUGACAUGUACGUUGCGUUCAUGUGUGUUGCUAACAAGUCAUGUACGUUUUGUUGAGGAUCAGUUCAGCUGAUGAACAUAUAUCCUCACAAUAUGAAGCGCAUGCGUCCUCUGAAACUCUGAAUAAAAUCUGACUGAACAAGUCAUGUACUCCUACGUUGCAAGUGCUGCUGCUGGGCGUACUGUUCAAUCUGAAUCUGAUUUGUGACACGCUAACGCUGUCGGCCAAUCACCUUCAGGUCAUCAUCUGAUAGAGAUAGACACUUAAGUGUGAACGUUCUUCAAUUCAGGUAGUCCACAUUCAGAGUCGCAACUGGCAAUUUUUUUUUUCAAUAAUCACAAUUCGCAACUUUGGAACCGAGCAAGUGCCAAAUAAUCGGGGCAUGGUGUACCCAAACUGGCUAUAUGCUUUGUCAUCAUUUCAAUUCUAUAGACACGUUCGUUCUCAAUUCUCUCUCCGUAACGUGUCACUAAUCCAUUAACCUAAUUCUCAAUUUCUCAAUUGCCUGCCGUGAUGCCAUCCAAAAGUCACCAUCCGGCCGAAUGGGAUUCCCGAGUCCGGGGGCGUCCACCUGACUGACCCUCUCAACGCAGCUUCACAAUUAACAGCAGAAGCUGGCAUUGCCAGGACAUCACGUGCCAUAAUUGACAGGGUUGGAUACUUUGUAGAAUUACUCAUCCACCAGUUCAGAAUAUCGAAAUCAUCCUUUCUCGGGACAAGACCAUCUUCAAGGUAGCUGUCAAUUUCUGUCAUUAGUUGGCUCCUUGUCUGUGCAUUAAGAUGCUCAUCCCAAUCUUCCAAUGAAUCACUAUCAAAACCAUCAAACUCAACAAUACGAGCUUCACGAGUUGAUGUGUCAAGCCCCGACUUCUCUAAAGGACCACAAUAUUCAUGGAACAGCUCCCUUAUUGCAUCACGCACGGCAGAUACAUACUUCUCUGCAUCAGUACCAAAAGCUCGCUUUAGAUGGAACUCAAUAAAAGUAAUUUUGAAUCUCGGAUCAAGAACAACAGGUAUUGACAGCCACACGUAUGAACUUUGCCAAUACUCAUUGAACGCUUCUUGCAUCACCCAAACCAUGUUAGCAAGUUCAGUGUGAUCAGAGGAUGCUUCUUCUUGCAAAGUUGUUCUAACUUUCCAUAGUUCAUUGAAGUAUAUAUUUGCUGUGGAGCAAACACGACCAGAAAUUACUUCAACAGCACGAUAAAAAGCCCUCAGUAUCCUGCAAACAGAUUCCACAGUUUUAGUAUCUUCUGCAGAUAACAAUUCUUCUGAGGGGAAUGCCUUCUUGAAAUGCAGAAAAACUUCAAGCCUGAAGUAAAAUUUAUGCCACCAUUUCGCAUCCUCCUGUGGGCACUUCAAUCCAAUAUGUGUAACAGCUUCUAAAUAUCUCUUACCAUGGAGAAAUAGGCCAUGGAGAAUAUGUGUAACAACUUCUAAAAGCUGAAUAUUUCAGCGUCUUGGUCAAAUUUCCUGCUUAUAUCUGCAGCAGUCUGAGCUGAUGUGGUAUUUUGUUCUGUGGAAUUCGUCUCAUCCAUUGCCGGCAAAGCUAGAAAGAAUGUGACGUUCCACUGGGCUUCUAUUACCAGAACGCCCUUGAGGAACUGGCCUUCUAGCAUACUCUGCCGGGUUGCUGCUGGAUAUAUCAGGCGCGGAGAAGGAUCUGGGAAGUUUCCUUUUGUCAUAGUUUCAAUAUAUAUUGAUCCUAUUGUUUUCCGGCCAUAUCCAACCGCCCCACGUCAUGUCCCAGCCGAACAACGUCAUGUGCCCACCUAUAAGACCUUGGCCCAAGCCUCCAGCGUCGCUCCAGUUCCCUCCUGUCCUCCGGUCCAACUCUUGCCUUUCCCUGCUUCCCUCGUCUCCUGCUCCUCAACUGCUGCAGGAUACACCGUGAGGUACCUCAAAGGGUCCGCGGUUUGUUUUCUUCUUGUGAUUGUGGAAACCUUUGGAUUUUUCAGUGGCUAUAAUGUCUUGUGAAAUUCCCCAAUUCUCUUGCGAGCAUGGAUGCAGUGACGCCAAUGAGCACUCGGGGCAGCAGCAGGGCGAUGUACACCGGCCUGAUCAUCCUGUUGCUCGCUGUCGGCGCAGGCAUCAACUUCGGCGACUGCGACGGAUUAUCUGGCCUACUCAGCUUCGUGGGGGUUGUCGCCGGCGCCAACAUGAUCGCAGCCGUCGUCAGGACGGCCGACGACCCAGCAGCACCCAUCGGCCCCGCGCCCGCAGUGUUCGCCGGUGCACGUGCGUUCAUGCGGCGCAACCUCGCCGUCGUGGGGCUCGUCAUGGUUUCCUCUGCUUCCACAGCGGUUGUGGGGGAGACAGGCCCGGCGUUCUCCUUCAUGAUGUUUGUCCUGCUGGUGUUCGGGGUCUCUAUGAUCAACAUCGGAGUUCAUGGCGCCUAGUCUGGUGUGUCAGCUCCGGUCCGUUGGUGCUCGCAUCGUUCUUCAUACGUUGACGUUCCCCUCAACUAUCUGUCAGUAAUCGCCGCCUAUGUCCACGGAUGGUUUUCGAGUAACAGCAAUAAAGGAAAUGGAAUUGGAAUUGGAAUUGCAAUUUUUUUUAACCGAGGGAGUACUAUUUCUCAAUAAUCAACCAGUAUGUUUUUCCUUAAUUACUACGUGCUUCUUUGUACUUGAAUUACGUUGGUGUCGACCUGCUAUGUUUGUGAGCUCAAGUACCUUUUCACGGGAACAUGUGAUAUUCCACCUCCAUGAUUCCACACCUGCUAUCCUAGUUGAGUAGCAGAAGAACAUCCUGCCCCUCAGAAACUCGAAGCGAAGAGAAAAUCAUCGAAGGAGGGGAUGCGCGGGCCAGCUCCGGCACUGCAAGUCUUUCGGGGAGCGUUGGAGGAAACAGGAGAGUGGAGGAGUGGCCGGGUGGAUGGGAUCGUUGGGUUAGAGCACCUCUAAGAGCCCUCUUAAAAUAACCUGAAUCAGAUUUAAGGAGGAAAAAAAGGAAAAAAUUAACCUCCAAUUCUCGUAACUGUUGAAACCGGAAAAUAAUACCUAUAUAUUCGAAAAAAUUCCAACGGCUCCCUCGAAACUUCCCCAGCUCUUCGCGGUGCCAAAACAGAACCCGUAGCUGCAUAUAUUUGCGCGAUUUUCCUCCUCCCCGAUCUUUCUUCCCGCGCGAGAGUCUUCCGACGGCGGGGUGAGGGGCGGCCGCGUGUGUGUGUGUGGGGGGGGGGGUGGCGCUUCAUUAUCUCUGAACAGAUAGCUUUUCACUGCAUGUCAGGUAAACUGAAUACAUGAGCCAACAAUUGUGCGUGCAUUUGCGUGUGCUGCAACUGCAAGCCUGCAGCUGAGCACUUCUAUUGGUGUGGCUGAAAACAACGCUGUGCCCGGGGGGAGGGGCGGCGCUGGAGAUCAGGGAGGUGCGUGCGUGAGGGGCAGGUGACCAGCCCAACUAAUAGGUCCAAUUAUGAUGAUGUGGUCUGUUUUGAAAUAUUAGGUGUUAGUUAUUAGCGAUCUGCUGUGGGUUGAUAUGUUUUUUGGGCAAAAUUUUUUUGGAAGAGCCCCUAAUACAUAGUUAUCGGAGAAAAAAAUUUAGGGUACUUUUGAAGUUGCUAUUAGUAGUUAGUCGAGACACGUGUGAUGGCUGGAGUGGGAUAGCAAGGCACAAAUUACCCGCGUGCUCGUGGGCAAAAACCAUGUAGGGUAAGGAUACGUGUUUAAAUUUAUGCCUACGGGUAUGGUUGCGGGUUUGUAUUUAUGCCCAACGGGCAAAAUAUCGCGGGCGUAAAAAAAUUGUAACCGUACCCGCUCUAUCUGCAAACCCGCUAAAUCCUCUGACACGUAAACCCUGCAUGUAGGUAUAUAAAAGAAGGCAUGUGCCAUUUCAUGUUCCCAUCCUUCUUUCUCUUCCCAAGUCUCCAACCGCAGCACCAAGCGGCGGCGGCGGCCACUCAGGCACCGCAGGGCCCGCGCCCCGUGCCUCCCGCUCCUCCCAGGCGCUCAAACUGCUCAAGCGGACCCUACCUCGCCGGAGCCAGGACGCAGCGACGCCGGUUUCUCCCCAAGGCUCGUCCCCCAGAGCCAUCCCUCCGCUGCAGUCCAAUCCAAGCGCAACCACCUGAUGGAUCCCCCCCCUUUGUUGCUGCAUCUUUGCAUCCCCCUUUAUUUAUUCAAGGAUGGUCAUGUUCUUGGGUGCAUACCCGCGGGCACAUGGCACGGCCGAAAAGCCAAAAUGCUUGCCCGUGGUGGGUGGCUGUUCCACGCGUUUUCUCCUCCGGGUUCUCCUCCUUGCCAGUCCUACUCGCUCCAGUCUCCAUCAUGUCCACCUAUAAGACCAAGGGCAAGCCUCCAGCGUCGCUCCAGUUCCCUCCUGUCUUCCGGUCCAACUCAACUCUUGCCUUUCCCUGCUUCCCUCGUCUCCUGCUCCGUGAGGUACGUCAAAAGGUCAGAACCUUUGGAUUUUUCGAAAUUCCCCAAUUCUCUUGCGAGCAUGGAUGUAGUGAUAAGCGUCAUGUUCGUUGCUGCUGCUCUAUUUAACAGGGAGCCGCGCAGCGCCGACGCCAAUGCCAAUGAGCCUUACUCGGGGCAGCAGCAGGGCGAUGUACACCGGCCUGAUCAUCCUGUUGCUCGCUGUCGGCGCAGGCAUCAACUUCGGCGACUGCGACGGAUUAUCUGGCCCACUCCUCAGCUUCCUGGGGGUUGUCGCCGGCGCCAACGUGAUCGCCGCCGGCGUCAGGACGGCCGACGACCCAGCAGCACCCAUCGGCCCCGCGCCCGUAGCGUUCGCCGGUGCACGUGCGUUCAUGCGGCGCAACCUCGCCGUCGUGGGGCUCGUCAUGGUAUCCUCUGCUUCCACAGCGGUUGCGGGGGAGACAGGCCCGGCGUUCUCCUUCAUGAUGUUUGUCCUGCUGGUGUUCGGGGUCUCUCUGAUCAACAUCGGAGUUCAUGGCGCCUAGUCUGGUGUGUCAGCUCCGGUCCGUUGGUGCUCGCAUCGUUCUUCAUACGUUGACGUUCCCCUCAACUAUCUGUCAGUAAUCGCCGCCUCUGUCCACGGAUAGUUUUCGAGUAACAGCAAUAAAGGAAAUGGAAUUAGAAUUGGAAUUGCAUUUUUUUUAACCGAGGGAGUACUAUUUCUGAAUAAUCACCAGUAUGUUUUUCCUUAAUUACUACGUGCUUCUUUGUAAUUCAUGAAUUACGUUAGUGAGCUCAAGUACCUUUUCACGGGAACAUGUGAUAUUCCAUGUCCAUGAUUCCACACCUGCUAUCCAAGUUGAGUAGCAGAAGAUCAUCCUGCCCCUGCUUUUGACGCCAGGAGUCGAGACACAAGACGUAUCCAUGUGGGUCCCGGCGCUGACCUGCGAGAUCCAACGCCACUUUUCGGUUGCAUCCCGAUCAUGGCCACUGCAGUACUAAGACCAUCCAAACAGGACAGCGAUGGAGCUGACGUGGAUGUCUGUCGGGAGAACGGGGUGGGUGGCGUGCAGAUUGCGACGGACCACGACAGAGGCGGCGCGUUCGUAACGGGGUGGGGGGUGUGCCGAUUGCGCCGGCGACGGCGAAAGCGGACCGAAUGGACCACCUGGCCUUUUUUUUUUUCUCCCUUGUGCUUCGUAUAAGCUAUCGAUCCAUUGUCCAAGAUUGUUCAGCGCAUAUUUUCGAGGAUGUGGAUCCAUCAAUCACUUAAAUAUUGGCCCAAACUACGAAGAUGUUGGCCAGAUGUAUGCGCCAGCUAUUGGAAUGGACCACCGAGAGUCAAAUCUGCAAACUUUUUUCAUGCCUGGAUUUUUGUAUGCGCCAACCAUUGUAUGCGUGGAUUUAGGAGGGUUUGAUACUAAUUAGGAGUAUUAAAUAUAGUUUAAUUAUAAAACUAAUUGUAUAAAUGGAGUCUAAUUCGCAAGAUGAAUCUAUUAAGCCUAAUUAGUCCAUGAUUUGACAAUGUGAUGCUACAGUAACCAUUUGCUAAUGAUGGAUUAAUUAGGCCUAAUAGAUUCACCUCGCGAAUUAGUACAGGAGUAACCAUUUGCUAAUGAUGGAUUAAUUAGGCUUAAUAGAUUCACCUCGCGAAUUAGUACAGGAGUUCUACAGUUAGUUUUAUAAUUAGCUCAUGUUUAGUCCUUCUAAUUAGCAUCCGAACAUCCGAUGUGAUCCUCCUAAAGUUUAGCACCUCGUAUCAAACACCCCCUUAGUUGGUGGAUCCAGACACAUCUAGCUAAAAUUUAGCUAGCCAAGGUAAACUUAAUAAAUUUUAACCAGCUAAAGUUUAGAUGGGUGGAUCCAAACCUGAUCUUGUUGGAAAAUUAGGCAAUUGUAUGAUUAAAUUCUGAACUAUAUUUCUGAUAAAAAGAAUUAAACCUAGCAUGCAGGACUCUAACAUACUAGGCAAUAGCAGGAACGACAUCAUGUUCUCAUAAAACAUGCUAAAAUAAUAGAUCAAAUCACAUCGUACGUACUCAGCGAGCGCAGCCGUGAUGGGAAGCGGUGCUGACGGAACGACGACGGUGUUGCGGAUGGAGCGCAGCAGACGACGCUGAAGACGACGAGCUGCCGCAGCGCCGGACUUGGUCGAAAGACGAGCCGUGGUGAAGACCUUGAGCAGUCGCGCUGAGCGCUUCUUAAAAACUUUAUUCGCCCUCUCCCGGUGUAGGAUCACAAGAGCGAGAGGUUUCGGAGACCUACUCUCCCGUUCGCCGGUGCACGCCGACACUCAGGAUGGAGUAGAUUACGGUGGCGGCGCAACAACGAGAAGAGGCAAAAACCUAACUCGUACAGACCACCUUGGGGAUACCCUAACUUGGGGUCUUCCCGUAUAGUAGUCUAUAUUGCGUCUAUUCCAUGAGGGAGGUGGUCCAUAUAUAUAGGGAGGAAAAGCCCCAACACCCUCGUUUAUUAGCAAUAUGGGACUAAUAGAUGGUGUACCCCCUCUUACGCUAAUAUGCCUUUGAGAUUUAUUCAGAAUUAUCGCCCAUAUAUCUAAUAGAUCUACGGGGGUGUUUGGGAGACCAGGGCUAAACUUUAGCCCCUAUCACAUCGGAUAUUUGAUACUAAUUAGGAGUAUUAAAUAUAAGUUAAUUAUAAAACUAAUUGUACAAUCCCUAGGCUAAAUCACGAGACGAAUCUAUUAAACCUAAUUAGUUCAUGAUUUGACAAUGUGGUGCUACAGUAACUAUUCACUAAUAAUGGAUUAAUUAGGCUUAAUAGAUUCGUCUCGCGAUUUAGCCUAGCGGUUCUGCUAUUAGUUUUGUAAUUAGCUCAUAUUUAGUCCUCCUAAUUAGGGCGAGUUUGGCAGGGCUCCUCGCGAGGGGCUCCUCGUGCGGAGCCGGAGCCGGAGCCGUGGAGCCACUUUUUUGAGCUCCUUCAUGCAGGCCUAAAACGGCUCCGGCUCCUCCCAAAUGUGCCAAAAAAUGGCUCCGCGGUCAAUGCCGUUUGGUGCGGCUCCGGCUCCUUCGUGCUUCGGUAAGCGCACGGAGCCGGAGUCGGAGCCCUGCCAAACUGGCCCUUAGUAUCCAAAGAUCCAAUGUGAUAGGGCUAAAGUUUAACCCCUCCUUCCCAAACAAAGCCUAAAUUGAUUGCCGCGGUCAGUGUGUACCUUGCUGAACUCCGCCUGCGCGAGCACCAAGUGAUGGCAGAUUUUACCCUAUCAGUAGAUCGGUCGUAGACUCAUGGAGUCGUAGUGACUGCGGCAGUGGCGAAACUGGAGCUAGCCACAAUUCAGCAUAACUUGCAUGAGCAAAUGAGGUACACGGUAACGUGCUGCUGCAGGACAGCAGGAGGAAGAACAGUGAACAUGGAAGAACAUCCAGCUGCUUGUUACUGCUGACGCCGGACCGGGGUCGCCGGCCAGCAGGCCUGGGCUUCGGCUGGCUUUGCCGAACGGACCGGAGCCCGAGCCCGUCACGUUGCGCCCAGCCGUCCACCCCGGGGCCGGUUUCGGACGUGGCUAGGGACUCGCCACAAGAUAGGAAAAACUCGAAGGCAGUGGUCCCGUGCCACGGAACGUACCGCCAGCCCCUUGCUCCGAUUCCCUGCCUCCCAGAGCCUGCAUCUGCCGUGAAUGGAUCGAAGCAGCUAAAGAGGAAAUGGAUUUUUCAUUUUCUUGGGUUCCUCGUGUCCCCAUCCACUGAAGUUCUCUGAAUAUUUGGAUCCUGCCUCUGAAUCUCUGAUGCUCUAAAAGUUUUCUUGGACGCCUCCAAAAAAGAAUUCGAUUAUGGUAAAUUUGAAAUCCGUUCCUGACUUCCUGUUGCACAAAAAGGAUCACAGGAACCAACGGUCCUUGCAAUUGCAGUUCUAGAAGUUCAUCGCUAAUAAGAGUCUCUGAUAUUGUAAACAUAUUAAAGAGCUCAUUUCCAACACAUACUUAUCCUGAAAAGUAAGACCCUUUCUCAGAAAACAAUUUUGUUGUGUCUCUGGCAUGCGGCUCUGCAUGUGUGAUUGCUGAUUUUACCUUCUGCAUAGCUGGAAUUAUCUAGAGUUGAAUUGGUGAAAAAUGAAACUGUCCCCAGUUUUUUCCCUUAAACAUGUUAGCACUGUCCUAAGUUUUAGAUUAAGGAAAAGAUCCGCCUCAACCAAGCACUGUCCUAAUUGGCUGCGCAAUAGUGCUAUAAGCCUACCAUUACGUAACUAGGGCAUUAUUCACGCUGUUUAGCAGGUAUUGAUGAAUUAUGCACUUUGGAACUUUGCAAAACUACUGUUUUGCCAGAACACUGAAUGCAUGUUCACCAUGUUCUUCCUUCCCUUCUGUUCUAGUCACUCAACCUUUUCUUUUGAUGUGAAAGAAAGUUAGUCCCUCACAUUUGGGGUGCAAAUUAUCCGUCUCCAUUUCAAUGAAAUGGCUUGCAGCUUUGUGGAAGUGAUCACAUAUAACACAGAGAAGCUUCGGAAGCUAGGGUGGACCUACAGGCCUAUGGAGGAAACCAUCCGGGAGAGCGUCGAAUGCUACCGAGGUUUGGGCAUCCUGAACUGAGCAUCCAUCCAGGCUGGGACACCUUUGCCAGCUUUGGCUACUAGCAAACUGUUUGUGUUGACAGGCAAACAUGCAAACUGUUUGUGUCGACUGCACGGUGCGAGGUAGUGCACAUGUUGAGAUUCAGAACGCCAUCGUUUCAGAGUCGUCUCUAGGCUUUUAGGCUGCAGAGCAUGCAGUAUUCUAUGAGGAUUACUUGUUGUGUGUUGUAAAUUUGUGAGUACAGAGUUGAACUGCCAAUUCAGAGUUUUCAAGAACAAAUCCAAUUGGCAGGUCAGUUUCCAGGCCAAAUGUGCACUUCCUGAUUGCUGACAUGGGCUUUAUGGCCAGACACAACAUAUUUGAUGAUACUUAUGUGCCCACAAACUUGCUAUCUGAAAAUAUUUCAGGUUAGCCUUCAGGCUUUUUUUGGGUGCUGAGUAGGAUUCAUUUUUUGGAGAUGGCUGAAAAGAACUUUUUCAUGAAAUUUGAGCUGUAAAAAAAGAGCUUUUUUACGGUACACAAUACUAUCUUAUACUACUGUUCGAAAAGGACUUACAGGAUCCGACGGUUGAGAUUAAUUGUAUACUACUGAAACCUUAAGCUGUAGUAUAGAUAGUAUGCAUGAGUAGUAUGGAUAGUAUAGUGGUAUGAUUGAAAAUAUGUAAAAUGACAUUGUUGGGAGAUUGACGGGCGCCACGGCCUGCGGGUGGUGGCGGCGGCCGAGCGCUGUCAGAUGGACGGGCUCUGUGUGCGGGCGGUGGCAGCAGCCGAGUGGGAAAAUGCCGUGUAGAAAAAAAAUCCCCGAAUAAUAUAUGUUGUGCUAAUUACAAUUUUACUCAUACUAAAAAUAAGUUAUACUUUAUACUACCACCAGGUAGUAUCGUGCACCGUAAAAAAGCUCGUAAAAAUAAUGUCGGUGGCUCUCUGAUGCUGCUGAAGGGAUUGGAGCAGUCAAGCAGGACUCAGUAGCUUGUACAGCAACACAUUUUCAAAUCUUUCUUUACUUUCAUCAUAGGGCCAAGGUUAAGCAUGGUGAGCGAGAGGUAACAGGGCAUCCGUAUUGAAUGGAAUAUUUUCAAGGAAUAAUGUAUUUGGAAGGUACCCCAGUACAUACGGCAGUACAUUACUGCCCAUGCCUAACUAUUUUAGCACCAUGUGCUAAGCAUGAUUUUGGCACGUACGUGACGUCUGCUUUAAUUUGAUGGCUGUACAUGCGCCUAAGCAGUUCGUUCAAAAAGAACAAUUACCAGAAACGAAGAGUGCUGAAGGCUAUUCUAAACCCAAAUACACAACGGCUGCAUCGCUCUUCAGUCUGGACGCAAGACGGCAGGAGUCAGCCGGGCAUUGAGACGGCCGGAGAGCAACGGACUGAGCAGAGGGAGAAAAAGCAUGGCGGCGCCGGCGAGGAGCACGGUGUGCGUGACCGGCGCGGGAGGGUUCGUGGCGUCGUGGCUCGUCAAGCUCCUCCUCUCCACCGGCCACUACGCCGUCCGCGGCACCGUGCGCGAUCCCAGUACGUAACGUAACCACACCCUCGCCGCCGGCCUUGCUCCCUGCCGGGAAGCUUCUGAUGGCAAAACAGGGCCCUGGAUUCUGCAAGCAGUUGACAAGGCACUGGAUACACUAAUUCCAGCAUGAAACAUUCGGUGUGUAGGUGGUGGCGAGAAUGCUCAUCUCAUGGCGCUGGAAGGUGCCGGGGAGAGGCUUCGGUUGGUCAAGGCUGACGUACUGGAGUACGGCAGCGUGGCGUCGGCAAUCGCCGGCUGUGAUGGUGUCUUCCAUGUAGCCAGCCCUGUGCCGUCCGGCCCAUGUCCCAACCCUGAGGUGAAACAACUUAGGGCUUGUUUGGCACCGCUUUAGCCGGCUUCGGUUUCAGCACUGUAGUGCAUCUAGCACGUGCCAAAGUCGGAGUCGGAGCUGGGGAAGUUAUUUUUUUUGCUUCACCGGCUUCCUCUCUUCCCCAUUCAUUUUGUGCCUCGGUUUGCGUUUUGACUUUAUACUACAGUGCAACACAGUAGUACUAUGUUUUCUUUUUUUUUCUUAUUAGUUUCUGUACAUUGUUUCUCUUUUUUCCUGAUAAGUGUACAACAUCGUAAGGACUUUUUUUAGGCAGGGGGUGUAGAGCUAGCUUCGUAGAAACCUUUUCGGAUUCAAAUUUUUUGGAAAAAUAUGAUUUGAAAAUAAACUCCUACAAAACAAUUUAAGCUGAUUUUUUUUCGACAUCAUCAAUUGGCACGCUAAGAGUAUGUAAUUUCUGCACGAUUGUUUUGUUUUGAUAAACUAGGUGAAAGCUUUAGAAUCGCUUGAAAUGGUCAUUUAAUCGUGUUUGAUUUGUUUGGUUCAUUUACUAGCCGCACAUAAGUUUUCUGUGUAUAUGUUGUUCUUUUGAUGAUAUUUCCAUGUGUCUGCUCCUCCUUCCAAUGCAAAAUAUAUGAAAUAGGAUAUCAGUGUUACUAAUCAAACCAGGCUUUCUAGCUCUUUGUGGGUGAUACCAGUCUUAUUCUCCCUCUAUUUAUUUUUUACAAAACAUAUUUUAUUUCUUUAGGACAAAUCUUUUGCCAACAAUUACUCUGCUAAUAUGUAAUUUAUGUGAUAUAAACUUAUAACAUAAGUAAGUAUUUUAAUACAAAUCUAAUAACAUCAACUUGUGAUACAAAAUUAUGUAUUAAUAGAGUAAAUGUUGGUAAAAGUCUUUGUUCUAGCGAAACUAAAAUACGUCUUAUAAAGGUAGAUAGAGGAGCACCAGUUUUUGUCUUCUUCAAGUACACUAAGUACAUACUUAGUACUUCCUCUAUCUACCAAUAUAACGCAUAUUUUGAGUUUUUGACUAGGGAAAAGUCAAAUUUAACCAACAAUUUAUCAAAUUAUUUACAUUUUAGUGUAUAAAAACUAAAACAACAGAUUUGCACUCAAAGUAGUUUUAAGAUGGUGUUGAUUUUGUAGCAAGUGACCAUAUAUUAUACCAGAAAUUAGGAGCCACAAUCAAAAUACAUCUUAUAUAUUGAUGGACCGGGGUAGUACUUGUCAAUUUGUUAGAAAUAACUAGUAGUUAUGGUGUUCUAUUACCUCCUGAGACUACCUUUUACAAUCCGCGUUGCAGGCAGAUGUCUUAGCUGCUACUGUAACUGGCACACUGAAUGUGUUGAAAGCUUGCUACGAGGCAAAAGUUAAGCGAGUUGUGGUGGUAUUUUCAUUUGUUGCCGUGGGUUUCAAUCCCUGGCCCAAGGGCAUCGCCUUCAACGAAGAUAGCUGGUCAGAUGAGGAGUACUGCAGAAAGCAUCAGGUAUAUCAUAGUAGGUCAUGCAAGCAACGUAGCGCAGGAGUUGUUAUGAACGGCGUAUGGAAUAUGAAGUAAAGAAUCAAACCACAAAAGGAGACACACGAUUUACGUGGAAAACCCCUUCAAUGUGAAGGGGAAAAACCACGGGCACCAGCCGGCAACAAUCUCACUAUCUCAAGGGUUUAGGGUUACACGCCUAUGGCGGCUUACAAGAGAAUCUGAUAAUCUCUUUCUCUUCUGUCGUCCUAUCUCUAAAACCCUAGCAAGGGUGUAUGUAUAUAUAGAACCGAAACCCUAGACAGGGGUAUUGAGCUGUACGGACUCUUGGUCCCGUGCAAGGAUGGAACUCCUCCUCGUCCGACCUUGAGUCCUUCGUCCUGGAGUCGGAUGCGCCUGGGACUCCGCCUCGCCCGACCUCAAGCCUGGGGUCGGAUGCGCCUGACCCCUUGAGGGUCGAUCUCCGACUCGCCCGACCCCGAGUCCUGGGGUCGGGAGACGCUCCGACUCGCCCGACCCCAAAGUCCAGGGGUCGGGAGACGCUCCGCCUCGCUCGGCCCCGAGUCCCGGGGUCGGGAGAUUCUCCGCCUCGCCCGACCCUGAGUGUUAAGGGUCGGGAAGGUCGGCCUUUAUCCUGGAGUGAAUUUGGAACAACUCCAACAAACUCCACCUUGAGACAAAUUCAUCUUGUAUCAUCAACCCUUCAUCCUGAACAGAAUAAAGACAGGAAAAAAACCACUGGUGCCAACAAUAGUCUCUUGGACUAUCCAAUUAAACCAACUAAGCCUGAGCACAGCUCAAACUUAGUAAUAGGAACAGGCUUUGUCAUCAUAUCCGCAGGAUUAUCAUGAGUACUGAUCUUGCAUACCUUCAGCUUACCUUCUUCAAUCACAUCACGCACAAAAUGAUACUUGAUAUCAAUGUGCUUAGUUCUUUCAUGGAACAUUUGAUCUUUAGUGAGGUAAAUUGCACUUUGACUGUCACAGUGCAAACUUAUGCAAGAUUCAACUCCACAAAGCUCAGCGUACAAACCUUUCAGCCAAAUCAAUUCUUUGCACGCUUCACAAAUCGCCAUAUAUUCUGCUUCAGUAGUAGACAGAGCAACAACCGACUGUAAAGUAGCCUUCCAACUCACAGCACAACUGCCAACAGUAAACACAUAGCCUGUGAGUGCUCUUCGCCUGUCCAGAUCAGCAGCAUAAUCUGAGUCCACAUAGCCAACAAGACCCUCAUCAGUUCUUCCAAACUUUAAACAGGAAUUUGCUGUGCCUUUGAGGUAUCUGAAAAUCCACUGAACUGCCCUCCAAUGUUCUUUGCCGGGAUUAGACAUAUAUCUACUAACAAGACUCAUAGCAUAUGACAAAUCUGGGCGAGAGCAAACCAUGGCAUACAUCAAGGACCCAACAGCACUAGAAUAAGGAAUCUUUGACAUGUAUUUGACCUCUGCAUCUGUACUAGGACACUGAGCAGCAGACAACUUGAAGUGAGGUGCAAUAGGAGUACUUACAGCCUUAGCAUCUUGCAUGUUGAAACGCUGAAGAACUUUCUUGAUAUAAUUUUGUUGACUAAGAAAUAACAAACCAGAAUUUCGGUCUCUACUAAUUUCCAUACCAAGAAUUUUCUUAGCACUACCAAGAUCUUUCAUAUCAAAACCGCUACUCAAUAGCUUCUUUAACUUAUUUAUUUCAGUCUUACUCUUGGCAGCAAUCAGCAUAUCAUCAACAUAUAUCAGCAAGUAUAUAGGUGAUCCAUUAACAUGCUUGAUAUAAACACAGCUAUCAUACUUAGAUCUUUUAAAACUGUGUGAUAACAUAAAUGAAUCAAACCUCUUGUUCCACUGUCGAGGGGACUGUUUCAAACCAUACAAGGAUCUCUUCAACUUGCACACAUAUUUCUCCUUGCUAGGCACUAUGAAACCUUCUGGUUGGUCCAUGUAUAUGUCCUCCUCGAGUUCUCCAUGCAAAAACGCAGUCUUCACAUCUAACUGCUCAAGCUCAAGAUCAUGUGAAGCAACAACACUAAGGAAAGUGCGAAUUGAACUGUGUUUUACCACUGGAGAGAACACAUCAUUGUAGUCAACACCCGGAAUUUGGCUGUAGCCUUUAGCAACUAACCUUGCCUUAUACUUUGGAGGCUCACUUGGAGAUAAACCCUCCUUUCUUUUGAAGAUCCAUUUGCAGCGGAUGGCCUUCUUAUUCUUAGGCAAAGGUACAAGUUCCUAUGUACUGUUCUUCUCAAGAGAUUGCAUAUCCUCAUGCAUAGCCGAAAUCCAAUUUUCAGUAUCGCCACAAUGAAUAGCUUCUUUAUAGGUUGCUGGCUCAUGAACAUUCUCCACCUGUUCAGCACAACUCAAAGCAUGGUAAGACAAAUUACACUCUUCAAUGAGACGGUUAGGAGGGGCAACUGUCCUUUUGGACUUGCGGUGAGCAAUGGGUAGUUCCUCCUCUGGAGUUUGCUGGACAUCAUCAUGAGCAUCAGCCGACCCCGAGACUGAGGGGUCUGGCGCAUCAGCAACAUCCGACCCCGCCGUCAAGGGGUCUGGCGCAGCAACAUCCGACCCCGGAGCCAAGGGGUCUGGCGCUUGAGCAUCAGCCGACCCUGGAGCCAAGGGGUCUGGCGUAUCCGACCCCGAGACCAAGGGGUCGGGGUUAUCAGCAUCAUCACGAGCGUUCUCCACCUGCAUGCGCAUGCGCUGCAGUUCUUUGUCUGGAACUUGAUCUGAUGACAAGCUGUCAGUAAACAUCAUAGAUUCAUUGAAAAUAACACUUCUGCUCAUAAAGGUCUUUCCUGUUUCCGAGUUCCACAAUUUAUAGCCUUUGACACCCGAGCCAUAACCAAGGAAAAGACAUUUAACAGCUCUAGGCUCUAAUUUUCCAUUAUCAACAUGAGCAUAUGCAGUGCAUCCAAAAACUUUCAGCUGUGAGUAAUCAGCAUGCGUACCAGACCAUACCUCAAUGGGAGUUCUUUUAUUUAGUGGAAUAGAAGGCGACCUGUUGAUCAAGUAACAGGCAGUAUUAGCAGCUUCAGCCCAAAAACGCUUGCUCAUCCUGGCAUUAGACAGCAUGCAACGAGCCUUGGAUAUGAUGGAUCUGUUCAUGCGUUCAGCCACACCAUUCUGUUGUGGAGUAUGGGGUAUGGUGUGAUGCCUUACAAUGCCUUCUGAUCUGCAAUAAUCAUUAAAUUCACGCGAACAAAAUUCUCCACCAUUAUCAGUACGAAGCAAUUUCACCUUCCUUUCAGUUUGUCUUUCAAUCAUGACUUUCCAGUCCUUAAAAGCAGCAAAGGUAUCAUCUUUCUGUUUCAGAAAAUAAGGCCAAACCCUUCUAGAGUAGUCAUCAAUAAUUGUGAGCAUGUAACGAGCACCACCAAGCGAGGACUUACGGGAAGGACCCCAUAAAUCAGCAUGAAUAUAAUCAAGAGUACCUUUAGUGGUGUGAACAGAAGUGUUGAAACGUACCCUUUUAUGCUUCCCGAAAAUACAGUGCUCACAAAACUUCAUUUUACUCGAAGUGCAGCCAUCCAGUAGGUUUCUCCUUAUCAAUUCUGCCAUACCAUGGUGACUCAUAUGUCCCAGACGCAUAUGCCAAAGGUUAGUUUUACUAGGUUCCUCAUUAGUAACAGCAGCAACAGCGGAAUCAGAACCAGGUAAAGUACACCCUCUAAGGACAUAUAACUUUGCAGAAUUGAGAUCACCUUUCAAGCAGACAAGAUUACCUCUUGAUACCUUCAGAACACCAUCCGAACCAGAAUAUUUGUAACCUUUUGCAUCAAGCGUGCUCAAUGAAAUAAGAUUUCUGCACAUCCCUGGUAUGUACCUGUCGUUUUUCAGAGUGCGUGUCAUGCCAUCAUGAGUCUUGACCUGAACUGAUCCAAUCCCCACAAUAUCACACGGGCUAUUAUCUCCCAUCCGCACAACAUCCCCUUUUUGCACAGGCUUAUACGAGCUAAACCAAUUUCUGUUAAUGCAAAUAUGAAUGUGUCGUAGUUCAGCAGCGGUAGAUCAAACUUCAUCGACGUCGACAUGAAACCAAACAGCAACCAAGGCUCUGGUACCUCUUGUUAUGAACGGCGUAUGGAAUAUGAAGUAAAGAAUCAAACCACAAAAGGAGACACACAAUUUACGUGGAAAACCCCUUCAAUGUGAAGGGGAAAAACCACGGGCACCAGCCGGCAACAAUCUCACUAUCUCAAGGGUUUAGGGUUACACGCCUAUGGCGGCUUACAAGAGAAUCUGAUAAUCUCUUUCUCUUCUGUCGUCCUAUCUCUAAAACCCUAGCAAGGGUGUAUGUAUAUAUAGAACCGAAACCCUAGACAGGGGUAUUGAGCUGUACGGACUCUUGGUCCCGUGCAAGGAUGGAACUCCUCCUCGUCCGACCUUGAGUCCUUCGUCCUGGAGUCGGAUGCGCCUGGGACUCCGCCUCGCCCGACCUCAAGCCUGGGGUCGGAUGCGCCUGACCCCUUGAGGGUCGAUCUCCGACUCGCCCGACCCCGAGUCCUGGGGUCGGGAGACGCUCCGACUCGCCCGACCCCAAAGUCCAGGGGUCGGGAGACGCUCCGCCUCGCUCGACCCCGAGUCCCGGGGUCGGGAGAUUCUCCGCCUCGCCCGACCCUGAGUGUUAAGGGUCGGGAAGGUCGGCCUUUAUCCUGGAGUGAAUUUGGAACAACUCCAACAGGAGUAGCUGCUGAAAUCUUUUUGUGCUAAUGUUCAGAUGGCACUGAGCAUGUUUUGUCUCUUUAUCAGGUGCUAAUAGCAUGUCCUCUUCAUGCAUUCUACGUUUAUUUGUUUCACUUUGAUUUUUCUUUUCUGAAAUGUGAAUGCAUUAUCAACACUUGGUUAAUAGCUUUUGCAUGAUGUAAUAUCCUUCCAUCAAUGACUUGACUGCUUCUAUCCUGGAAGAAUAGGCAGAUACGAUUUUUGUCUGGAUCAUAUAAAAAUAAUGUUGUCCUUGUUUUUGUUCUUGUAGGAAUUUGGAUGGUAUUUCCUUUCUAAAACAUUGGCAGAGCGUGAGGCCUUUGCUUAUGUAGCAAAAACUGGACUGGAUGUUGUAACUGUUUGCCCAACAUUGGUCAUCGGACCAUUGAUGCAAUCUUCAAUUAGCACAAGCGUUAAAAUAUUUCUCAAUUAUAUCAAAGGUGGAUAUGGUUCAAUUGUUUCUAUUUAGUCAUUUAGUAGCGAGCCGAGAAAAGAGAAAAAUAGGAUGACAUAAAACUUAUUAUUUACAACAACUAGACGAAAGGACUCUAAUCACUUGACUGAUGCAGUCAUGCCUCACUCAGCCAAAAAACAAUUGGUUGUAAGUUGUAACAAAUGGUUCCUGCAUAAAGUAUUUCGCUAAAGUUACAGCGAUAGUUUGGGUUGAGAUUUUUCCUUUUCCUUUUCGAAAUGAUCAUAUAGCUUUUAUAUUUUAACUAAAAAGUGCAUAUAUUAAGCCAUUAAGGUAGUACCUCUCUGUUGCUUGUUUUGAAUAGAAAACAAUGAAGCAUAUCAAUCGAUCAUCCUAGUAUUUGAGUUUGGUGCUCUGUCUAUUGAAACAAACACUACCUUCUCUACUGCAACAGAUGAGGAGGAGUCCGUCGAACAUAAGUUUGAGCAUUUUGUGGAUGUUCGUGAUGUUGCUGAUGCUCUUCUGUUGGCUUAUGAAAACCCAAAGGCGUCUGGAAGGUACCUUUGUAGUUCAGCACCAAUAAGAGUCUCCGAUAUUGUAAACAUAUUAAAGAAUUCAUACCCAACGAACAACUAUCAAAAAAGUAUGUUCCUUUUCUCAGCAAGUGAUUUGGUCUGAUUUUAUCUCUGCAUAAAAAAAAGAAACACUAUAUGUUUUGCUAGAUUAUUCAAAUGCUUGCUUACAAUAUCCUUGUCAGUUGCAAUGCAAUGGCUUGCAGCUUUGUGGAAACAGAAAACAGCACCAGGUGUAACACGGAGAAGCUUGAGAAGCUAGGGUGGAGCUCCAGGCCUAUAGAGAAAACUCUCCAUGACAACAUCGAAAGCUGCCGAGCUCUUGGCAUCCUGAAUUAGCCUCCAACUUGGGGACCAUUUGGCCAUGGUGAGACUGAAUAAGCUAGAGAAGUAAUGAGUAGCUCAGGUAAGAGUAGUACCCUCCAGUUGAGGCCCACUCUGUCUGGGGUGCAGUUAUGCAUCACAGAAGAUGACAGAUAAACCGUUGUCAUCUUCUGCGGCUGGUCUGCAGCCUGAUUGGUAGGCCACGUGAUGAUUAUUAGGCUGUGCCGUUGAAAGAAUUGAGCGGGGUAAAAACUCACUAGAGUUGGUAAUGUCAUUCACGUGUAAGAGAGUCCGAAAACUAAAAAAGUCAUAACUCUUGAACCGGACCUUCAAAUCAAAUUUCGAUUGUACCAUUAAAUUUUUUAUAGCAAGAUGUUCAAAAUAAGACCCCACUUGAUUGUGUUUGGAGAAUAUUUUUAAAAAAUAUUUUUAAGAUACGGAUUAUUUAGUUAUGAAUACUGCGAACAAAUGCUUCAAUACCACGAACAAAUAACUAUUUUUGCGAACAAAAAAUUAAAUAUAUUUUUUGAGUUCGUAUAUUUUGUUCUAUGCGUAUGAUUUUUUUCCACGGGUUUGUAUAAUUUAUUCCACGUUAUAUGUCUCAUAGAAUAUGCUACCUUGAUUAAAAAAUAUGAAUAAAAACGUUCGUCCAAGUAUAGUCAAUUAGGAUCUUGUUGUAAAGCUUUUAUUGUCAAAAAUCCAAUAGUGCAAUCGGAAUUUAAUUUUGAUGAUCGGUGUAAGAUUUAUAGCUUACACGAUUGUGUUUCUUAUAAUAAAAUCUUCACAACAAGAUCCCACUUGACUAUAUUUUGAUGCAUUUUUUAUUCAUAUUUUUUUAAAUUAAGGUUGCAUAUUUUUUGCGAAAUACACGUGGAACAAAUUCUACGAAACUUAUGGAACAAAACAAUCAUACGUAUUGAACAAAUUAUACGAACUUGCAGAACAAAAACGAAUACCCACAUGCAUGAAAUUUUUGAAAUUAAAAAAAUCAAAAAUCAUAAACCAAACAUCCAAAUUUGAUUUCGAUUGCACCACUGUAUUUCUUUUGACAAAAUCUUGAAAACAAGAUCACAGUUGACUAUGUUUGGAUAAAAAAUUUUAUAACCAUUUUCUAAUAUAAAAUAUUAAUUUUGAUCAUAGUGAAUAAAUACUUGAAUAACUAGAAUAAAUAAUUAUCUAAUACGAACAAAUAAAAUAACACGAUGAGCAAAUGAUUAUAAAUAAUGAAUGAAAUACUGAACAUCAGAAAAAUAACAUGAUGCAAAUAAAAGAUAUGUACAAAUAAUAAUAUACUCAAACAAAAAAUUGAAAAUUUGAUAUUAUAAGAAAAAUAGUAGAAUAUGAGAGGAGUUGAUACUCCAAUCUCUUAAGACAAAUCUCAGUUUGUCUUCUCCUAAGGAUGGAGUAGUACUUAUGUGCCUUAUGAUUGCAAUUUCAAGCUAUCCUAAAAUAAGUAGACAUUUGUAUGAACUAGAAUAAACAUACAACUAGUGCGUAUUUCAAACAUACAACUAGUGCGUAUUUCAAACAGCUCAUCCUUUGGAUUUAUUCAAAUCAUCAGCCUAGCGAAAAAAAAGUCUAGGCUAUCAAAUAGACGAGUCUGCUUACAUUCUCGGACCAGUGGCUUUUGGAGAAGCUCUGAGUAAGAAACUAAGCAAUAACAACGACGACAGUAGAACAGAAUUUCCAGAGCCGCCUAUCCUAGGCUCAGAGAAAACCGACCAUCACCAUGGAGACGCCGGCGAACAUGACGACGGCCAGUCCGAAAGCCACCACCGGGUGACGGCGCCAACGGCGACGGCGUGGACGGCUGAGGAUGCGGCCACGAUCCCCAGCAUAGACGGUGCCCGUUCCCCAGCCCGUCGUCUUCACCGGACGCCUUCUUGGCUCAGCACCCGCGGACUUUUCAAUGCGAAUCUACACGAUCAGGAACACAAGUUAAAAAGGAUUCUCAAAAGACUUGGAGACAAUUUAAUUACCUGCAGCAGCAUGUCGCUGAUGCCGAUGAUCAGCGCGCCGGGGUGCGGGGCGCCGGGGUACUGCCCGUUGCUCAGCGCCUGCACGCAUGAUCCAACACAGAUUUUAAGCUUUGUUCUGCUGGAGUGAGUUCGUUCGCAGGCCUCAAGUCACUGAAAUGGAUGUUGAGGAGAUAAUUGAUCACCUGCAGCUGGUCGCCGAUGUUGAUGAUGAGCGCGCCGGACUGCGGGUUGACGGCGACCCACUUGCCGUCUUGGGGUUGUCCACGGCGUCCACCUGACUCUCUCAGCUUGCCGGUGAAGCCAGCAAUCAGACUUCACCGCCUUGGCACCUCUUGUGAGUCGUCUGGUGAACCAGUUGAAAGAUGAUGGAUAGUAGGAUAUCCAAGAGAGUUCAACUGUGCUGACAACACUACUAUCCGAAGUUCCGAACAGCAUGGAAUCAACAGUACUAUCCGCAGGCGUAUAAAUGUGAUGACAACAGUACUAUCCAAGAGAGUCAUGCCGGUGGAACGAGGAACCAAAAUCAGUAAAGAGUCAUGCCACCCGGUGGAAGCUGUUCAGUUCUCUCAUGCUACAUGACAAAAAGUGGUAGUACUGAUAGCCAAACCAUACUGAGUAACACAAAGUGGUAGUACUCUGAUAGGAUUGCAUUACAUGGCCAGAAGAGAGUAUUGCUCACAGACAGUACUGUCUUACAUCAUCUCUCAGAAGAGAGAGUACUGCAUUACAUGGCCAGAGGAAAGGACACUUGGACUAUAGUUGCGCAGCUUCAUUAUUUGAGCCCACACGGCAUGAGAAUGAUUCUACAUCAGCAAGCACACAGUAGCAGUAGUAGUAAGUGUACGAGAGACAGGGUGUGGUGAUUGUGAUUCUUCCAUUGGAGGUCGUUACUGCAUCAAUGCAUCUGGGAGAGGCCAAGAAUCCCAACGCUGAUCAGGGAGAGGCCGAGGAGGAGCAGAGCAAACAUGCCGAAGCAGAGCACCUGGCCUGCUUCGCCGGAGAUCGCCGUGACGGCGCAGGAAGCCAUCACGAGCCCCACGACGCCGAGGUUGCGACCAAGGAACUCUGCGAGAGCACGCGCCUCGGCCAACACUGCCGGGACGACGGGCGUCAGGGCGGCGUCGGAGAUCCGGAUGCCGACUACGAUGAUGUUGGCGCCGGCGAGAACCCCCGCGAAGCAGAGUAGCAAGCCGAAUCCGCCGGCGCCGGAGUUGAAUCCGGCGCUGACGGAGAACAGCAAGAUGGCGAGGCCGGCGAACAUCGCCGUGGUGCCCGGAGUGGUCAUCGUCGGCCGCGUGGCACCGCAGUCCCCUGCUUAAUUGGAGAGGGCCGUCGAGCGAGCAGGCGAGGCACCGCUGCACCGGGGAGGGAAGCGUUGCCGAAGAGGCGAAGAAUGCAGCGGGAGGAGGAGGAGAAGGAUCUGGGCGGUGCGCAGCGGACGGGGGAGCCGGAGGAGGCGAGGAGCGAGAUGGUUGGGGUCGGGGAGGCCCGGGAGGGCCAUUUAUACGCCUGCGCGGCCCCACCGUCCCCUCAUAUUAACGCAUAUCAUAUGUAGUUGUUGAAGGUACGAAGAGGUAGAGAAGGGUGCACUAUAAGAGAAGAGGUAGAGAAGGGUGCACUAUAAGAGAAGAGGUAGAGAAUACCCACCUAGGGAUCCACUCCCAUCCGGCGGCGCGCGCUGCCGUCGUGUCGUCGCCUGCAGCUCACUGGCGUCAAGGACAGCGCGUGGGCCCAGCCUCACGGAGUACAUCUGGAUGUUGACGCGCGAUGCUGCAGCGGCGGCCCGGCCCGACGGCUGGACAACAUCGCAUGUCAACCGCGCUGCGCACCGCAUGUCAACAUCGCAUGUCAACAUCGCAUUUCAAUUCAUUAAAGUAACAAAAACUUAUUUUCUACUCUCAAAACUUUUAGUCUAGCCAUCGCAUGUCAACAUCGCAUUUCAAUUCAUUAAAGUAACAAAAACUUAUUUUCUACCCUCAAAACUUUUAGUCUAGCCAAGCUAAACUUGCCAUACCAUAAUAUGAAGAUCCUCAAUAAAGAUGAAGAGAUUACGUAUUAUUUAACAUAUAUAGAAAAGAAUGUGAAUAUAUAAAAAAGAAUAUGUUAUGAGUAAAUUGCACCGGACUUGAAGGUGAGUCCUAUGAAAAGUCCUUAUCCUUAUCACACUGUACCUACCUGAUAACUAGCUGCAACUCUGAUCUGCAACUCUGAUGUAUAUUACUUAUGUAGGCACAUGUCAUCUAAGUAAAUGCAAUCGCAUGGGACAAGAAGUCUCAGUAGUUAAUAUUGUUCUUCUCUUUUAGAUGCAGUUUAAAUAUUGUUAGUAGAGAAUAACCUUCCUACGCAAGUUACUAUAGAUCUGGUUGAUCCACUGUUGCUUAUUAUCAGUAACUAUCAAAUAAGAACAGAUGCUGUGACAGUCCAAUUGCUAGUAAUUGUCUAGAUAAUACUGAAUAAUAAUGCGGUGCAAGUGUUACAUUUCAAUUGUGCACUAUAAAGAAAAGUUGAUAAUUAAAAUACAAAAUAUAGGCUGCCCGCCAAAAACACAAACACAUGAUUUACAACCUUAUAUAAGCAACUAAGGAAACCAAUAGAACAACCAAAAUGAAGACUUUACCAUUCUAUUUAAUCCAAUCUCGCAUACAUACGAGAGCCUCAAUUGUUUUGAUAUUCAAUGUGCUCCAUUGCUUAUGAAUCACCGGUCCCUCGCUGCUUAAUGCUGCCUCACCAUGCAUAGCAGAAGCAGGAAUUGCCAGGACGUCACGUGCCACAAUUGAGAGGAUUGGAUAACUUGUAGGAUUACUCAUCCACCAGUUCAGAAUAUCAAAAUCAUCCUUCCUUGGAACAAGUCCAUCUUCAAGGUAGUUCUUAAGUUCUAUCAACGCUAGGGUCCUUGUCUGCUCAUAAAUGUAUUUAUCCCAAUCUUCCAAUGUAUCCCUGUAAAAUCCACCCACUUGAACAACAGAAUUUGAUAUCUCAACACUUGGUUUAUCUAAUGCACUGCAAUAUUCAAGCAACAGCUCCCGGAUUGUAUCACGUACAGCAGACACACACUUUGCUGUGUCAGUGCCAAAAGCUUGUUUCAGACAGAACUCGAUAAGAGUAAGUUUGAAUCUGGGAUCAAGAACAACAGGUACUGACAACCACAAGUAUGAAUUCUGCCAAUACUCGUCGAAUGCUUCCUGCAUCUCCCAAACCAAGCCAGCAAGUUCAGUAUGAUUUGUAGAUGAUUCUUCUUCCAAGGUUGUCCUAAUUAUCCACAGUUCAUUGAAGUACCUAUUUGCUGUGGAACAGACAGGACCCGAAACUACUUCAAUGGCAUGAUAAAAAGCCCUUAAUAUCUUGCAAGCAGACUCAACAGUUUUAGUGUCUUCUGCAGAUAAGAAAUCUUGAGAGGAAAAUGUUUUCUUGAAAUGCAACACAACUUCGAGCCCAAAGUAAAUUUUGUGCCACCACUUUGCAUCUUCUUGGGGGCAUUUCAAUCCCAUAUGCGUAACUACUUCUAUAAGUAGCUCUUGAGUAAGCGCUGUGGACAUAUGUACCUGAAUAAAUCUCUCUAGUAUAUCAGCAACGAGAUGAAGCAGUGGUUGCCCCUUUGAAACAAUGUUGUUAAGCACAUCAUCCACGCAAGCAAUAUUGUAUAACUCACCUCCAAUAGGAAGGCAUUUCCUUUGACCGAGGAAGUCCUUGAGCUUUGAGGUACGCUCAUCGUUUCUAAUUUCGCUGACACAUGUCAAGCUGAAAAGCUUCUGAUCAAGAUUCCAGUCUCUUAUAGCUUCCCAUAUGAUGUUAAAUGGCCCACUCUCAGAAUCUAGUAUAGUAACCUCACUAAAUUGUAUCAUCCUAUCCAAAUUAGUGAGUGGCUGAAACAGACCAAACUUGAUGAUUCUCCUUUGAAGUUUCCAGUCUGAAUCAAUAAAAUGCACUGUCAAACAGAGAUACUUCACUGAGGCCUCAGCUCCAUGAGGAGUCCACAAAUAAGCUGAUAAGGAAACCCGAUGUGAUGCCCUUGAGGAACUUGCUAGCAUACUUUGCAAUCUGAACCAUACCAUUUGUCAAGGCAGGUGAAAGCUCAUCCUGAAGCCUAGACUUGGAACUUGGUUCACUGGACUGGGAAAAAACUCUUUUCUGAAGAUUUACGCUAGUUCUACCAUGGGCUGGACAAGUCUGACUAUGUCAGUUUAGUUGUCUUCUACUUUUAUCCACACUGAGUCGCUUGUGGCAAUGGACGCAUGCAGCUUCCUGGAUCCUCCCCUCAACAUAUAAUGGUAUAAAAUCUUUCCAUACCAUUGACCUGAUUUUUUUGUUGUCACUAUGAGCUACCAAGUUAAUGCCACCAUAUGAAUCUGUAAGAAUGUAGUCCAGAAGAUCUACAUCAUUCACCAGUAAUAUGCAUAAACAUUGAAUAAUUCAUCCAGAAAAUUAUGCAUAUUAUAUGAAGGACAUAAAAUGUGCGAAUAGCACACCCAAAUUUACACCAUACAAACCGACCAACAGCAAAAAUUAGUAUAUCAAUCAUUGUAACUGAACCAUGAGCUGUGUAGAAUCUAAUUUAUGCCCCUCCACUUUGCAAUAAUUGUCCAAAUUUACCAUGUACGCCAACCAACUAUAUACCAAACACUUGAUCUCUUUUGCAACAUUAAUGUAGGGUUAAUAUGUUGAAACAUUGUACUUUCUAUAUUUUUAUUCCACCAUAUGACAGUCAUUGUGCAAAUAACUAAGUGCUGGGCAUAAUACAAACAAAUUAUACAAGGUUCAUAAUUUCCAUACUAAUUGCAAAUGAAGAGGAAAAUACUAGAAAUCCCCACCAAAGGAAACAAAAUCUAAAGAAAUCAUCAAGCAGGAUCAUAACUCUACAACUGUGGCUAUUUAAGUUCAAAUUUAUCCUAUUGCGUAAGAGUUACUCAGUAACUAAAAGCAUACCAUAUCAAAACUCUGCAUCCUGUUGCUGCUGGCUUGUAGCCAAUCUCUCCUUCCCUGGGCAGAUUUCCUGGUGUUGAUACAAAGAGUCACUUUGACAGCUCAAGUGAACAUGGCAGUAUCGGCAUUCCACUCUAUCAACCACUCCGUUUUCGCACACAGGCUUGUAAUCAUCCCACAGCUUAGCUAUCUUAUUUCUGAAUCUGGAUUGACCAAUAGAAGCAGCCCCUGCUUGCGUAUCAUCACUGAUAUGCUCAUCCAACAGGUCCAUAACUGCAGAUAACAAUACGACAUUAUCAGCUUUCUUGACAGGGCGUAGUUAAGAUGCAACCUUGAUUCCAACCAGAAAAGGAAAUGCUUCACACAAUGCAGGAGCGGCAAUAUCUCUACAGACGGCUGGAGUGCUGGACAUAUCAGAAAAACAAUUCGCACAGACAAACAAACAGUAGGUGCAGAUGUGCAUGCAUUGAUCAUUAAGAGAAAGACCCAAAAAAAAACUUUUAGUUCUCCCAAAAUUGCUGGGUCCGAGAAUUGAUCCCACGACCUCUUGCUUGCUAUCGAAAGGUAACACCUGUUCUCCACAACACUAACACGCGCCCUGCCGCUCCAAUUUCUUGCAACUUCUAAGCCCGCAGAGCCGCAAGCAACUAAAACGGUAGCCAAUACCUAGCAUUCCCCGCACCACUACUCCCCAAGCGAAGACUGCAACUUUCUGGCCCAAAACGAACAAGAACACCAGCUACUGCAGUGCCCGCCCAUUCGCAGACACAAACAACACCAGGCAAGCAAUUCGUUCCCCCCAAAAAUUCAGGAAAUAAAAAGCAACAGUAGCGAGAGGAGGAUCGCAUCACUUACUGGUUACUGCUCGCCGGGAACUCAGAAAAGGAACAUCAUCGAAGAAAUGGAAUGCGCAAUGGCACUCGGGAAGUCGGAAUGCUUCCGAGGAAGUGCGCUGGGGAAUUGGAGGAGGGAGGAGACGGGGAGCAGAGUGGAGGGCUGAUCGGGGUGGGUUCGGUGGUGCAGCACCUCGAAUAGUUCCCAAAAAAAUUCUUCCCCAAAACGAGGUAUUGGGAGCUAUGCUAAAAAAAAUUUCCCCAAAAAACAUAUCAGCCCACAGAUGAACGCUAAAAACUAGCUCCUCAAUAUUUCAAAACACAUCAUGUCAUCGUAUUGGGACCAUUAGUUGAGCUGCCCACCUGCCCACCUCCCCCUCGUGAUCUCCAGCGGCGCGGCCAGGAGCUCACGUCGCCGAAGGAUUUUUCACGCCGGCAGGAACCCACAUCACCAGGAGGUCACGAUCAGGUUUGUGCCAUGGAGCUCAUCCUCUACUGAAAUACAUACACCUCGCUCGCUGUUGCUGCUUCCGCUUCGCGCUCGUGCUGCUUCCGCUGCCUGCUGAAUUAUUUCUCUCUCCCUCCUCUUCUUGCGUUUGUGUACUGUUGGUGUGUUUGUGUACUACUGUUGGUGUGCAGCCGAAGCCGUCCGGGCGAGCCAAUAGUUGCGUCACGAUCAGGAAUACAUUAAACCUUGAAAACAUCCAAAAUGUACCCUAAAGAGAACCAUAGACUUGCAGUAGGCAGGUAUUGCUCUGCUCCAUAUUUUGGUUCCGGUAGCCUGCUACUGACUUGCAUGCAGAACCAAUCACUCUUCUAUAUCUCUGUCUCUAACCUCACAGAAAGUGAAGGAGAUGAAGCUUGGAGGGCCAACUGUGUCCACUAAAAAGUUGAGCCUUAAAAUGGACUAGGAACUAAUUCUUGUAGUUUUAUGCUCAAAUGAUGAAAAUUCUUAUUCACAGAAUCAGUUAAAUGUGUAAUAUUUUGAACCAAAGAUGAAGACUUAAACAUUAACUGUAAGUUAUGACUUAUGAGCCAAUUCAGGAAAAAGAGAUGGUAUAGCAUUCAUAAUCAGCACAUCAUGAACAAUAAGGUUGGAGGGAACAUGCCACUGCGUUAAGUGAAGAAUAAUGCACAUGGAUAGCAGGACGUACGUGUCAUUGUUCCAAAUAAUAGUUCUAGGUACAUUGAGAACCUAAAUCUACACAUGCACUACAAUCUAGCAGAAACCAAGGGUAAGUAUAUUUGAUUAUUGCCCAUUCUCCCAUUUGUUAAGACUUAAGAACAUAAAGGUGAGGGUCACUUUUUCAGUAGAAAAUUCAAGAAGAACUUGUAUUGCAGUGAACAACAGUUUUCUGAUUGGCAUAAAAAAGAAAUAGUACUAAUAUUAAUCUCAGAUCAAGUAUAUGAAAACUUUCCUUGUUAUCAAUUAGCAUGACAGAUAAAAUUCCAGUACGAGCCUAAAGGCAGGAUGAUACAUUGAUACUAGAAGCCCCGAAGAUGUACAGCUCGAGGUUCGAAUUCUGAUGAAAUUGAGCUAGUAUGACUAACAAAAUUCCGGUGAAAUUGAGCUAUGAUGACUACAUGAUCCGAAUAUGGCUACAUCAAGAGCUCAACUUGGUCCCUCUUUACCUACCUGCACACGGGACGCCACCGCCACUUCCGCCGCGGCGGCCGGCCAGCGGCAGCGGAAGAGGUGCUCCCAGACGCAGUCGGCGUCGCAGGUGGUGCGCCAGAAGCGCAAGCAGCCGCCGAGCGCGCGCACGUCGGCCUCCUGCGCGCGGUUCGAGCCAGCGGAGUCAACGGGAGAACCACGGAAAGCCACACGUCGGUUCCUACGCGCCGGGAGAGGAGGGGGUUGGAGAUGGCCGCCGCCGCCUCCUGGAACCGGCGUCGGGAGGAGAGGAAUGGGCCGGAAAGGGGCGCGCCGGAGUGGGGAGGGCCGCCGCCGGGAGAGGAGGGGGCUGGAGAUGGCCGCCGCCGCCUGGAACCGGCGCCGGGCCCGGGAGGAGAGGAAUGGGCCGGAGGGGGCGCGCCGGAGUGGGGAGGACCGCCGCCCCUCGCCCCGCGGCGCUGUCGCCCCUCGCCCCACCGCUGCCGCUGCGCGCGCGGGAAGAGGCCGCGCGGGAAGGCUGGUCUGCUCGCGAGCGCGGGAAAGGGCAGCUCAGCGCGCGGGAAUCGCGAUCGGGGGGGGGGGAGCGCUGGUGGAGAAAGGCGAACACGAAAAUAUAUGCGGUGACCGGCUUAAAGAAUUAGGAAUGUUCAGGAACCGUUGAAUUUGUUUUUUUAUUUUUUUCUAAAGAAAAUAUUAGAAUAAGAUUAGCAGUCUUCUGGAGUGAGUUGUUGACCUCGAUGGACCGGCUGGUGGGGUCAGGUCGCGAGGAGCCCGACCCAGUUCAUGAUCUGGGCUGAAACGGGCUGUUUAUGUGCUACUGGUCACUUACUGGGCCUUCGGCGCAUUAGAAAUUGGGCUGUGUUUCCCGACGAACUGGGUCCGAAUAGGCUGUGCGGCCCGUCGUCCCUUUGGGGCAACGGCACAACCAUCUUUUUUUUUAAAGCUCUUUUUGCGAAAUAUUCUCACAAAUAUGCUACUGGGGGAACCAAUUCCAAAAAUGGACCCUUAGCUUGGCGCCAUCCACGCUGACGCCAAGCUUACACAUCUCGACGCCAGGCAUCCUGGCGCCAAGGUCCAUGCGCAGCUGCUGAUGUGGAAUCUGACGUGGCGGGGGCUUGGCGCCAUCCACACUGGCGCCAAGCCUCGGCGCCGUGGAUCUUGGCGCCAAGCUUGGCGCCAUCAUGAAUGGCGCUUGGCGCCGUGGAUCUUGGCGCCAAGCUUGGCGCCAUCAUGAAUGGCGCCGAGCAAUUUUCCCUCCUGGCGUUUCGAACGAGAAACAAGUAUAAUUAUUCCGAGGAGUGUGCAACAAACUACACUCUAGUUCAACUGGUUAGGAUGUGGGCUUCUUAUCCUAAACACAUGAGUUCUCAAACCCUUGUGUUGAAUCUUUUUUCCUACAUUUUUUUUAAUCAACAUGCAUGAUGGAUUUAUAGUUCGUUACCCAUGUCUGAGAUCAACCACUCCAAAAAAAAUGACCGGGUCAGUUCUUCACCUCUUACUAUUUUUGAGACAGGUAAGCCUAAUCCUAGGUACGCGGUUUUGAACUGUUGAUCAGCCUGGACCAUGCAUGCGNNNNNNNNNNNNNNNNNNNNNNNNNNNNNNNNNNNNNNNNNNNNNNNNNNNNNNNNNNNNNNNNNNNNNNNNNNNNNNNNNNNNNNNNNNNNNNNNNNNNUGAAUCAGACAAGUAGGCCACUACUAGGUACGCGCUACGUAACUAGAACAGAGUGUCACAUGACAGCAUAUGUUACUUACAGUGCUACUCACGUGACUGUCUGAGACCUGUGCAUUUAGUCGAUCUAGCUACGAGUCGAUCAACAGCUAAGUGCCUCGCGGAAAUGGUACAGCUCGCAAUGAGUAUUCUCCAUGCAGACUUACGUACAAAAUCAUUUUUAUACCAAUUAGCUAAAAAAAUAAAAUGUAGGAAAAAAGAUUCAAUAGAGGGGUUUGAAACUCAGAUCUUUAGGAUAAGAAGUCUAUGUUCUAACCAGUUGAACUAGAGUGUAGUUUGUUGCACAUUUCUUGGAAUAAUUAUACUUGUUUCUCGUUCGAAAUGCCAGGAGGCAAAAUUGCUCGACGCCAUCCAUGCUGGCGCCAAGAUCCACGACGCCAAGGCUUGGCGCCACCAUGGAUGGUGCCAAGCCCCCGCCUCGGAUUCCGCAUCAGCAGCUACAUAUGGACCUUGGCGCUAGGAUGCCUGGCGCCGAGACGUAUAAGCUUGGCGUCAGCAUGGAUGGCGUCAAGCUAAGGGUCUAUUUUUUGAAUUGGUUCCGCCAGGGGCGUAUUUGUGAGAAUCUUUCGCAAAAAGACUAAAAAAUAAAAAAGUCAGAUGGCACAACAUGGAUUCGGGCCGCACCGCGAUUCGGGCCCAGCUGGAUGUCGUUUAAAUUCAAGUUGAGAUUUUGCAGGGGAACACACCCAGUACGCCACGAUAACAUAGACAGAAUAUCAAAUGACUUCUCAGGUUAAAGCAGCAGCACUUCAUUCGCACUGUACAAAUAAUCUGCACCAGAAGCCUAACAAAAUCCUAGGCAACAAUGCAUAAUACUUGUCAACACCUAGAAGCUCUCCCUUUUAGCUUCUGCAAUACACACUCACGGGGAAAGAUUCGCUCAAAUAUACAAGCACAUACCAGUGGCUGCAAGAUGUUGGCCAGUGCACUCUUUUCUGAUAUCAUCCUAGGUUCCUGAGUUAGAAGCACCAUGGUUAUGAACUGCUUGAAAUCUUCUGUUGAUAAUUAAAAAUAAGGAAGCAUGCUAUCAGCUGUCAGCUUAUUGGUAGUUAGCAGCAGCAUGAUAAAUGGGCUGUGCAAGGAACCACUUGUCCCCCGAGAGCGUCCAGUGUCACGAAUAUUUCUAUUCCGCGCAAUACAAGCAAUUUAACACCAACCCCCCCUCUAUUACUCGUAGUUGCAUUAUUGGCAUGAUGCUAAAUUGACAAUACAAAUUUUUCGAUAAGGAUAAAGUGCAUAAUGUUUCAAAUUUUCGCUCCAUUACUUGUAUUUACAUAUUGUUUCGUAAAGGGAAAUUCAUCGUGACUAAAUUGCAUCAUAGGCACAGUGACUAGCAAGGUAAGGUCUAUGACAAACCCCUGACAUCCUUGAUCUGCAAGCCUGCAAUGCAUACUUUUAGUUGAGAAUGCAUGCUCACCAUAACAGAAAUACAGUAUUCAUACUUUUAGCUGAGAACAGGGGCGGAACCAGGAUGAACACCUGGGGGGGCUAAAUAGUAAAGAUUAAGAGCUAGGACUAGAAAUUAAUUGUGAUUUGAGACUUUAUCUACAGUAUUUUACAGGUAAAACAAGGCUCUCGGGGGGGUGCAGCCCCCUAGCCCUCCCCUUGGAUCCGCCCCUGGUUGAGAACAAGGGUUUUGCUAAGGUACUCCCAAAUGACUGUGGACCGUUGAUCUAAUAACAUAUUACCUCAUAGGAAGUAAUAUUAUAUCUAUUUUUUGAAUCUGAAAAUAGGAAAAGUAUUUUUCUAUUAGAUCUAACUUCCACGAUUGUACUAUAUCAUAUCUAAGUUUCUUUUUUGCCUCCCACGUGAACAUGGAUGGCGGUUCUGGUUCAAAAAACAAGAGAGAGAAGAACAUGACACCUUUAUGUGACAUGGAUCCGUUCGAAAAAAAUGUGACAUAAGUCAAGUAAAUGUGUUGCACGGAGAAAUGUGUCAUGGCCAUCUCUUUUUUUCCCCAUGCGGAUGCAGAUGUUUCGUUUCAAAGAAGAAAUGCAGAUGCAGAUGUUUCGUUUCAAAGAAGAAAUGCAGAUGCAGAUGUUAAAUUGCAUGUCAUAUGGAGAUGUUCAAGUAAACAUGAAGAUGUUCAAGUAUUUUUUUUUCUCCAUCCAGAUGCGGCCGUGUGUUCUGUUAAAAUGUUAUGACUUCGGUUGCAACUAAAAGAAAAGAAAUUGCAUGUUCACAUGCAGAUGUUGGACCUGUUCCUCCGAUCCUAAAUUGAAGGAAGCCGUGAUAAUGGGGAGCCGGUUGUUUCUUUUUUUUGUUGCUUUUUUAAUAUUUAAGGGCCUCAUUAGGUAAUCGGUGCACUGUAGCAUUGCCCUGAGAACAAACCUUUUUUCUGUAAGCUACUGCAGAUCCUACUGAUUUACUGGUGUUUAUCUUUCAGUAAUUAUUCUAGUGAUGCAGUUUCAAUAUUUUUAGUUGAGAGCAAACCCCUUGUUUGACCUAAGGCAGAUCCUAUUGAUUUACUGAUGUUUUUCCAGUAACCAUCUAGUAAGAAAAAAUGGAUGCUGUGAUGGUCCUAUUGCUACUAAUUGUCUAGCUAAUAAAAUAUGAUAAUGUGAAUGCUCCAACUCCAACAGUGCAAAAUUUUAUUGAGAACUGACAUGCCAAAUAUAAACAAAAAUUCUCUGAAGGACCACAAUAUUCAUGGAACAGCUCCCUUAUUGCAUCACGCACGGCAGAUACAUACUUCUCUGCAUCAGUACCAAAAGCUCGCUUUAGACGGAACUCAACAAAAGUAAUUUUGAAUCUCGGAUCAAGAACAACAGGUAUUGACAGCCACAAGUAUGAACUUUGCCAAUACUCAUUGAACGCUUCUUGCAUCACCCAAACCAUGUUAGCAAGUUCAGUGUGAUCAGAGGAUGCUUCUUCUUGCAAAGUUGUUCUAACUUUCCAUAGUUCAUUGAAGUAUAUAUUUGCUGUGGGGCAAACAGGACCAGAAAUUACUUCAACAGCACGAUAAAAACCCCUCAGUAUCCUGCAAACAGAUUCCACAGUUUUACUAUCUUCUGCAGAUAACAAUUCUUCUGAGGGGAAUGCCUUCUUGAAAUGCAGAAAAACUUCAAGCCUGAAGUAAAUUUUAUGCCACCAUUUCGCAUCCUCCUGUGGGCACUUCAAUCCAAUAUGUGUAACAACUUCUAAAAGUUGCUGCCGAGUCAGCGAUGAGGACAUUUGUACCUGAAUAAAUUUCUCUAGUAUGUCACCGACAUGGUGAAGCACUGGUUGCCCUUUUGAAACAAUGCUGUUAAGCACAUCAUCCACACAAGCAACAUUGUACAGUUCACCUCUAAUAGGAAGGCAUUUUCUUUGGAUGAGCAAGUCCAUCAGCUUUGAGGUACCCUCAUCCCUUCUAAUUGCAUUGACAGAUGUCAAGCUGAAAUGCUUCUGAUCAAGAUUCCAAUCUCUUAAAGCUUCCUGUAUGACAUUAAAUGGACCACUAUCAGAAUCCAGUACGCAGGCCUCCUUAAAAUGUAUCAUCCUUUCUAAACUAGUAGGUGAGGACCAAAACACACCAAAUUUGAUGAUUUUCCUUAAGUUUACAUUCAGAAUCAAUAAAAUGCACUGCCAGACAGAGAUACUUCACUGAGGCCUCAGCUCCAUGAGGAGCCCACACACUUGCUGAUAAGGAAACCCGAUGGGAUAAAAGAGCAAUCUUUUUCCUUUAGAUCAGUCUUUUCUUUCUGAAAUAAAAGAGUUGAAUACUCUUCUAUAUCAAUGCUCGAAGCCAUGUUAAAUGCAGGGUUCAGGCUCUUUGCAAACCUUUUCAUUUCUUCAUGUUCCACAAUUGACAAGGGAUAGCCAUGUUCCACAAUUGACAAGAGAUAGCCUGAUCAUCAUGUUGCUCGAUGUCGGCGCAGGCAUCAACUUCGGCGACUGCGACGGAUUAUCUGGCCCAACAUGAUCGCCGCCGGCGUCAGGACGGCCGACGACCCAGCAGCACCCAUCGGCCCCGCGCUCGCAGGGUUCGCCGGUGCACGUGCGUUCAUGCGGCGCAACCUCGCCGUCGUGGGGCUCGUCAUGGUAUCCUCUGCUUUCACAGCGGUUGACAGGCCCGGCGUUCUCCUUCAUGAUAUUUGUCCUGCUGGUGUUCGGAGUCUCUGUGAUCAACAUCGGAGUCCAUGGUGCCUUAUGAAAGCAAUUUCAAGCUAUCCUAAAAUAAGUAGACAUUUGUAUAAACUAGAAUAACCAUAUAACUGGUGCGUAUUUCAAACAGCUCAUCCUUUGGAUUUAUUCAAAUCAUCAGCCUAGCGAAAAAAAAGUCUAGGCCAUCAAACAGACGAGCCUGCUUACAUUCUCGGACCAGUAGCUUUUGAAGAAGCUCUGAGUAAGAAACUGAGCAAUAACAACGACGACAGUGGAACAGAAUUUCCAGAGCCCGCCUAUCCUAGACUUAGAGAAAACCGGCCAUUGCCAUGGAGACGCCGGCGAACAUGACGACGGCCAGUCCGAAAGCCACCACCGGGGUGACGGCGCCAACGGCGACGGCAUGGACAGCUGAGGAUGCGGCCACGAUCCCCAGCAUAGAUGAGAGGCUGCCACGACCGCGACGGUGCUCGUUUCCCCGCCCGUCGUCUUCACCGGACGCCUUCUUGGCUCCCGGUGAAGCCAGCAAUCAGACUUCACCGCCUUGGCACCUCUUGAGUCGUCUGGUGAACCAGUUGAAAGAUGAUAGAUGGUAGGAUAUCCAAGAGAGUUCAACUGUGCUGACAACACUACUAUCCGAAGUUCCCAACAGCAUGGAAUCAACAGUACCAUCCGCAAAUGUGCUGACAACAGUACUGACAACUAUCCAAGAGAGUCAUGCCGGUGGAACAACGAGGAACCAAAAUCAGUUAAGAGUCCUGCCGCACGGCAGCCACCCGGUGGAAGCUGUUCAGUUCUCUCAUGCUACAUGACAAAUUAUUUGUCCAAAACGUCAUCUUAUUCUGAACAGAGAUAGCAUGUAGCAGAUUCUUAGUUGAUUAGCAUUUCCUAGGACAAGAAUAAUUUUAGGAAACUUGCAAACAGAUACUCAAAACAUCACGCUUUCAUCAAACUAUGCACGUGAUUGCAUUUUAUCCAAUGCUGACACAUAGUUUUUUUUUUUGAAGAAACAGGAGGGGAGGGUCCCUACUGGUUAUACGAGAGCGAAGCAAAAGGGAAAACAGAAAAGAAAACAUACUACAAGGUGUGCAGCCUGUCAUUAUUUGUCUUACAUCAUCUCUCAGAAGAGACAGUAUGGCAUUACAUGGCCAGAGGAAAGAAGGACACUUGAACUAUAGUAGCGCACAUUCAUUAUUUGAGCCCACACGGCAUGAGAAUGACAGCAAGCAGGAGGCAGCAGCAGCAACAGAUACUCAAUGCAUCUGGGAGAGGCCAAGAAUCCCAACGCUGAUCAGGGAGAGGCCGAGGAGGAGCAGAGCAAACAUGCCGAAGCAGAGCACCUGGCCUGCUUCGCCGGAGACCGCCGUGACGGCGCAGGAAGCCAUCACGAGCCCCACGACGGCGAGGUUGCGACCAAGGAACUCUGCGAGAGCACGCGCCUCGGCCAACACCGCCGGGACGACGGGCGCCAGGAUGCCGACGGCGACGAUGUUGGCGCCGGCGAGAACCCCCGCGAAGCAGAGCAGCAAGCCGAAUCCGCCGGCGCCGGAGUUGAAUCCGGCGCUGACGGAGAACAGCAAGAUGGCGAGGCCGGCGAACAUCGCCGUGGUGCCCGGAGUGGUCAUCGUCGGCCGCGUGGCACCGCAGUCCCCUGCUUAAUUGGAGAGGGCCGUCGAGCGAGCAGGCGAGGCACCGCCGCACCGGGGAGGGAAGCGUUGCCGAAGAGGCAAAGAAUGCAGCGGGAGGAGGAGGAGGAUGAGCUGGGCGGUGCGCAGCGGACGGGGAGAGCCGGAGGAGCGAGAUGGUUGGGGUAGGGGAGGCCGGGGAGGGCAUUUAUACCGGGGAAGGGGAGAGGUAGCCGGGCUGGGACGAGGCCUAAAGGUGGCAACGGACAUUAGUUUUAUACCGAGAGGUGGCCGGGCCGCCGGCCCGCCGGGUGCAAAGUCUGAUAAAUGAUGCGUGGGGUCCGCCGUGGUGUCGACAACCCUCACCUGCCGCCUGGGCGUAGGAAGUGUUAAGGAAGUAAGCAAUUACUAGCCAUACACUAUUAAGAUAUAACAUAUUUUUCAAAGAGUAUAAAUAAUUAUAUAAUUUUCUAGAUUUCAAGUGUUCAACAAAUAGGCUCAAACAAUACAUAGAAUAUUGAAGGUAGAAAAGUACUAAAUUAAGAGUCUUUCAUGAAAAAAAAAGAACUAUACAUGUCUUCAUGAAUUAACACCACUUCCACUUGUUCCGACGACCUCAAUUCCACAUAAAAAUUUUCAACAUCUCAGCCCUAUAACAUUAUGUAUUGAAAUAGACUAACACAACACAAGUAAACAACACAACAACACGCACCAUGUUAAUACUAAUUACUACCGGGAUAUUUGAUUCUUAUUUAUAGUGACGAUUAUAUGUCUCUGAAGGAUAUUUGAGAUUUUUUUGUUUAUAUAAGUUUUUUUAAUACUGCCAUGUUGGGGUUGAUUACUGUUCCAAUUUGAUACAAAUUUAUUUUCUGGGAACUUGUCGGAAUAUGUUCCUAAUUUAUUGAUAGGCUUUUGGUUUAGACGGACAAAUUGCAGCUCUCGUUUCUUAAACCUUGAAAGCGCUUUUGAAUGCGGCUGGAGAUUCCCACCGUCGUGUCGUGUCGUGUCGGCAACCGAUGAGAUUGGAUUCAUAUCAUAUUGUUGCGGCCGCACUGCUUCGGAGGAAGUUGAAGAAUUGGAGAAGAAGGUAACGGACACUGGCCGGGCCGCCGUGGUGUCCAGUGGAUGUUUGGGAGGAGAGGGGUAGAGGACUAUGUAUAUCAUAUUGUUAUUGAUGCCACACUUCGUGGGAAACUCUGGGCAUCCCACAUGCGUUCUCUGAAACUCUGAAUAAAAUAUGAUUAAACCAUCCGGCGGCGCGCGCUGCCGUCGUGUCGUCGCCUGCAGCUCACUGGCGUCAAGGACAGCGCGUGGGCCCAGCUCACUGUUGACGCGCGAUGUUGCAGCUCGAGUGAACAUCGCAGUAUCGGCAUUCCACUCAGUUCAGGUCGAUGGACUGGCUGGUGGGGUCAGGUCGCGAGGACCCCGACCCAGUUCAUGAUCUGGGCUGAAACGGGCUGUUUACGUGCUACCGGCCACUUACUGGGCCUUCGGCGCAUUAGAAAUUGGGUUGUGUUUCCCCACGAACUGGGUCCGAAUAGCGGCACAACAUGGAUUCGGGCCCAGCUGGAUGUCGCUUUCCUCUCGCCUGGAAACCUCGAAUGGACACAUUUCCUAGCUGGCGCCAUUCACAAAAUGCAAUAUGAGUGCCUUAAAAUUCAAGUUGAGAUUUUGCAGUACGCCACGAUAACAUAGACAGAAUAUCAAAUGACUUCUCAGGUUAAAGCAGCAGCACAUCAUUCGCACUGUACAAAUAAUCUGCACCAGAAGCCUAACAAAAUCCUAGGCAACAAUGCAUAAUACAUGUCAACACCUAGAAGCUCUCCUUUUUAGCUUCUGCAAUACACACUCCCGGGGAAAGAUUCGCUCAAAUAUACAAGCACAUACCAGUGGCUGCAAGAUGUUGGCCAGUGCACUCUUUUCUGAUAUCAUCCUAGGUUCCUGAGUUAGAAGCACCAUGGUUAUGAACUGCUUGUAAUCUUCUGUUGAUAAUUAAAAAAAAAGGAAGCAUGCUAUCAGCUGUCAGCUUAUUGGUAGUUAGCAGCAGCAUGAUAAAUGGGCUGUGCAAGGAACCACUUGCCCCCAGAGAGCGUCCAGUGUCACGAAUAUUUCUAUUCCACGCAAUACAAGCAAUUUAAUCCCCCCCCCCCCUCUAUUACUCGUAUUUGCAUGAUGCUAAAUUGACAAUACUAAAGUGCAUACUGUUUCAAAUUUUCCCUCCAUUACUUGUAUUUACAUAUUGUUUCGUAAAGGGAAAUUCAUCAUGACUAAAUUGCAUCAUAGGCACAGUGACUAGCAAGGUAAGGUCUAUGACAAACCCCUGACAUCCUUGAUCUGCAAGCCUGCAAUGCAUAUUACUCUAUCUUUUCCAAGUUCAGAGAAUGCAUGCUCACCAUAACAGAAACACAAUAUUCAUACUUUUAGUUGAGAACAAGGGUUUUGCUAAGGUACUCCCAAAUGACUGUGGACCGUUGAUCUAAUAACAUAUUACCUCAUAGGAAGUAAUAUUAUAUCUAUUUUUUAAAUCUGAAAAUAGGAAAAGUAUUUUUCUAUUAGAUCUAACUUCCACACAUGAUUGUACUAUAUCAUAUCUAAGUUUCUUUUUUGCCUCCCACGUGAACAUGGAUGGCGGUUCUGGUUCAAAAAACGAGAGACGAACAUGACACCUUUAUGUGACAUGGAUCCGUUCGAAAAAAAUGUGACAUAAGUCAAGUAAAUGUGUUGCAUGGAGAAAUGUGUCAUGGCCAUCUCUUUUUUUCCCCAUGCGGGUGCAGAUGUUUCGUUUCAAAGAAGAAAUGCAGAUGCAGAUGUUUCGUUUCAAAGAAGAAAUGCAGAUGCAAAUGUUAAAUUGCAUGUCAUGAGGAGAUGUUCAAGUAAACAUGAAGAUGUUCAAGUAUUUUUUUUUUCUCCAUCCAGAUGCGGACUGUUAAAAUGUUAUGAUGUCGGUUGCAACUAAAAGAAAAGAAAUUGCAUGUUCACAUGCAGAUGUUGGACCUGUUCCUCCGAUCCUAAAUUGAAGGAAGCCGUGAUAAUGGGGAGCCGGUUGUUUCUUUUUUUUUGUUGCCUUUUUUAAUAUUAAGGGCCUCAUUAAUUUGAACUCUUACCUCCUAGGAGGUAAUCGGUGUACUGUAGCAUUGCCCUGAGAACAAACCUUUUUUCUGUAAGCUACUGCAGAUCCUACUGAUUUACUGGUGUUUAUCUUUUCAGUAAUUAUUCUAGUGAUGCAGUUUCAAUAUUGUUAGUUGAGAGCAAACCCCUUGUUUGACCUAAGGCAGAUCCUAUUGAUUUACUGAUGUUUUUCCAGUAACCAUCUAGCAAGAAAAAAUGGAUGGUGUGAUGGUCCUAUUGCUACUAAUUGUCUAGCUAAUAAAAUAUGAUAAUGUGAAUGCUCCAACUCCAACAGUGCAAAAUUUUAUUGAGAACUGACAUGUCAAAUAUAAACAAAAAUUCCAAUAAAAAGGAGUAUCUUUAUAAAAAUUAAAUAAGCAAAGAAGGAAACCAACGGAACGACCAAAGUGAAAAUAUUACCUUUCUAUUUAAUCCAAUCUCGAGUACAUACAAGAGCCUCAAUUGUUUUGAUAUUUAAUGUGCUCCAUUGCUUAUGAAUCAUAUUUCCCUCACUGCUCAAUGCAGCUUCACAAUUAACAGCAGAAGCUGGCAUUGCCAGGACAUCACGUGCCAUAAUUGACAGAGUUGGAUACUUUGUAGAAUUAUUCAUCCACCAGUUCAGAAUAUCGAAAUCAUCCUUUCUCGGGACAAGACCAUCUUCAAGGUAGUUGUCAAGUUCUGUCAUUAGUUGGCUCCUUGUCUGUGCAUUAAGAUGCUCAUCCCAAUCUUCCAAUGAAUCACUAUCAAAUCCAUCAAACUCAACAAUACGAGCUUCACGAGUUGAUGUGUCAAGCCCUGACUUCUCUGAAGGACCACAAUAUUCAUGGAACAGCUCCCUUAUUGCAUCACGCACGGCAGAUACAUACUUCUCCGCAUCAGUACCAAAAGCUCGCUUUAGACGGAACUCAAUAAAAGUAAUUUUGAAUCUCGGAUCAAGAACAACAGGUAUUGACAGCCACACGUAUGAACUUUGCCAAUACUCAUUGAACGCUUCUUGCAUCACCCAAACCAUGUUAGCAAGUUCAGUGUGAUCAGAGGAUGCUUCUUCUUGCAAAGUUGUUCUAACUUUCCAUAGUUCAUUGAAGUAUAUAUUUGCUGUGGGGCAAACAGGACCAGAAAUUACUUCAACAGCACGAUAAAAAGCCCUCAGUAUCCUGCAAACAGAUUCCACAGUUUUAGUAUCUUCUGCAGAUAACAAUUCUUCCGAGGGGAAUGCCUUCUUGAAAUGCAGAAAAACUUCAAGCCUGAAGUAAAUUUUAUGCCACCAUUUUGCAUCCUCCUGUGGGCACUUCAAUCCAAUAUGUGUAACAACUUCUAAAAGUUGCUGCCGAGUCAGCGAUGAGGACAUUUGUACCUGAAUAAAUUUCUCUAGUAUGUCACCAACAUGGUGAAGCACUGGUUGCCCUUUUGAAACAAUGCUGUUAAGCACAUCAUCCACACAAGCAACAUUGUACAGUUCACCUCUAAUAGGAAGGCAUUUUCUUUGGAUGAGCAAGUCCAUCAGCUUUGAGGUACCCUCAUCGCUUCUAAUUGCAUUGACAGAUGUCAAGCUGAAAUGCUUCUGAUCAAGAUUCCAAUCUCUUAAAGCUUCCUGUAUGACAUUAAAUGGUCCACUAUCAGAAUCCAGUACGCAGGCCUCCUUAAAAUGUAUCAUCCUUUCU